rnacentral:lncRNA from 1 species
ACACGCUACAACAGCAAAGUUGGGCAUGCACAUAGCAAUUUCCUGAAUAUAAACCGACGCUGAUCGGACCUGGAUGGCAAACAUUUCCGAGAACGACGCCUAUCCAUCAAACACUGGAACUGUGCAUAUCAAACACAUUUGAAAGGUAAACGAUAAUUGUCGUCAAACUCGGUUCCGCCGUCGGUGGUUCGGACAGAACCCACGGCCGAGACAAAACCAACCGGAGGGGCGCUAGAAAUGAAAGACGGGCCAGAGUUCUCACAGGACCAUGUCUCCGGCAUAUACAGUAAUAAGAUGCCAAUCAACCCUCAACCAACAAGGAACCCUUCACAACAAUGAAUGGCGUGACAAGAUUACGACGACGACUCUUUCUUCUCCUCCGGCUCCGCUUCCUUCUUCGCCUCGGGUUCCUUCUUCUCCUCUGCCGCCUCCUCAAAGGUCUCUCCUGGGACGAGCUCUGGAACGUCGUCGUCGUCGUCCUGGGCAGCACCGAUGCUGGCGCCGCCAGCCUCACCGCCAGGCAUCUGCUUCUGAAACUGCUCGGCAAGCCUCCGCAGGUUGUCCAAGUUAUCAGGGCCUGUAAUCAAGGAAUUUUGUAUUGAGACAUGGUACAAAGGCGCUUGCUUGGUUCAGAUGUUUUACUGUCUUAUAGUUCAAGUAUAUGGUGUUAUUCACACAGUGAGCAAGACAUUUCACCAGAGCAUAGGCAAUUAUUGGACUAGACUAAUGUGAGAAUGUACAGGGGGACAUACCCAGUUGGUUGAUAAUUGUCGGCAGUAAAUCUUGCAGCUCUGUAAAAAAUAGAAGGCCAAAAAUGACAUUGCAGUCUCGUAAAGUCAAAGAAUGUAGUGCUCACAAUCACAAAGAACAUAUAUGGUACAGCUGGAAUUUAAUGGUUCGGUUUGCAUCAACUUUUAUUGCAUAUGUAAACCAACUUAAAGAGGAACAAGAAUGAAAAAUAUAUAGUAACUAAGCCUGUAUAUAGUAUGUAGCAAGGUGUACAUCUUCAACCUUAUGAUAUCAUCAUUAGUAAACUGUAACUUUACUUUCGAAACAUAAUGAGACUACCAACUUUGAUGUACAAAAGCCAUGUACACGCAGUUAAAGUUGAUAUCAUAUGCCCUCUACAUUAUAAUAUUUAUGUACCCAUGAAACUUAAAGGUAUAUGUACACAUAAAGAUCAGAUCACUGCCAAAGCAGUUUGACAUAUCUUCAAGAGAUACUUAUGUUGCUCCAGAGAAAAAAGGCUACUUAAUGAAACAAUUAAGCCAUGAAGAUUCUAAAGCAGGGCUUACUUUUCGUCUGUGGUGUUCCACUGACAACCCAUGUGUUUGCAGCAAUAGAUGCUUGCACUGCAGGAAUCCAAGAAAUACCAAUGUUAGAAGAAAUGUGUGAGUGGAUCAUUAGUUCUGCAGAAGUCAUGGUUCUUCAGCAUGUCGAAAUUUCACCUUUCGGGUUCUGAAAUUGGAUGACUACAUCAUCCUUGAAAAUGUUGACCUCUUCAAUACCAGGAAUGGUGUUGACUCCUACUCUUUUCAAGGUGCUUUGGAGCCUCUUGUCAUCGGUGGUCGUGGUCUUGUGAACGGCCUUCUUCUUCCUGUCAUUAGGAGAAAGCUUUUUAUGCAAGUACAACAAUAGGAGAAAUGUUUCAUAUUUCUGUACUCUAUAAGCUGACAUGCGUCCACUAAAUGGCGGCAUUCACUGACACAUCAAUUUAGAAGUGUGACACCAGUGAUGGUUGGAUGAUAAUCAAUAUGCUCAGCCAGCAAGCUUCAAAUUUGGCAUUUCUACUCAGGAUAGCAGCAAUGGUUCACAGGGAACAAAUCAUUCAUUCCGAGUAUAAACAUUUUAGGUCUGAAACGAUCGAUUUGCACAGGCAGAUUGGAUAUAUAUGUAUAGAACAGAUGUCGUGCUGAAAGCAGGAAACACUAGUGUUGAUAGCAAAACCAAUUUGGCGUUGCUCAUGGACAAGAGUAACAGAGCUAGCAUAGUAAGCACCUGCGCACGCUGCCCUUGCCCCCGGUGCGCACGGCACCGGCCAUCUUCUUCAGCUUGUCGACAUUCAUCUGCACGACACAUACGAGUUGUUGCAUUAAUAAGAAUAACAGCACUCUUAGUCAACGACAUGGCAGCGUCCAGAGUCACUGACUACACAGACCACGCAUGCUCUUCGGCCAAGAAGCAGAGCCAUGGCGCUGCAGCGAGUUUCACAAAUCUAGCAGCGGGCGGUUCAUCCUAACCUAACCACCCCCAAAUCCAGCCGAAGGACAGAGCAGCCAGAUCGAAUCUCACGAGCGCUCACUCCUCCGGCGCCCGCCUACCAGUCCGCCGGGCAAAUCCAACCUAACCCAUGGAUGGAACCAAGGCGGCCAGCCAGCGAAUCCACAGGCAGGACAGAUCGACGGCAGCGCACCAUUCCUCUCUGACCAUCGGCCCGCCCGUCACGCGAUCAAAUCAAACUAAAAGCUGCGGCGGCAGAGCAUAGCGCAGCGGGGGAGGGGAGGGCAUGGGCGCUGGGGGCAUACCUUGGGCAGGCGACGCCGGCGGCGGCGGCGGCGGCGAGGGGAAUGGGGGGGUUAGUGGGGGAGAAGAUAGGGGUCGGGAGGCCAACCACUGCGAAAGGGGACUUUGCUUUCCUCCGCUGUGCUCGGCGUUAGGGUUUUAUCAGCCCAGGGGCCGAUCCUGGCCGUCCGAUCCGACCACGCACGGCGGCCUGCCUCUAGCACCAAAUUGUCAGAGGAAAUGGAUCUCUUUUUCUUUAGGGGUGAAAUGGAUCUUUCUAAAGGAUGGAGCUUUAUAGUUGUCACUGUAGAAAAAUUGGUCAUUUUGUUGGGAUGAUUUCGGUAUAUGAUUGACGUAUGAUGUAAUUUCACUGGGAAAAUGUUGUGCUUAAAUUAUAGUUUUUCAAAAAAACUUCCGAUCGAUUGAUCAAGUCAAGGUAGCACAAAAGAACGCAAGAAGUAAAAAGUGCAUCCAGCUCACUAGACCACCUAGCAACAACUACAAUAGCUGGAGUGAGCCUUUACGGAGCGGGGCAAACCUUGUUGUAGUAGACUGUUGAGAAGUCGUCAUGCUAAUGCCCCAUAGCACCAGCACAUAAAAACAGCAAACCGCCGGCGAUAAAGAGAAGCGUAGAUCGAAAGGAUGCAACUCGUACACACACAAACACAGACGAACAAAGACCGGAUCCACAUGGAUCCACCGAAGACAAACGUCGACUGCAUCCCGUGAGAGCUGUCGGAGACAAACCUUCACAAAACACCCCGAUGAUGCUAGAAGCACCACCGGGAUGGGGGCAAGGCGGGGAGAAUCUUGUUCCAUCUUCACAGAACCGUCGCCGCCGCCUUGCCUCUCUAAACAGGACACAAAUCCUAACAAAAUUAUAACACGUAUUAAAAAUAGAGCCCUCAUGCCGGCUAAGGCCGGGAUCCACCAUGCCUCUAUGAUCCUAAGACCACAAGGAGGUGAGGUUGACUGCCGGAGACGCUGGCAAGAGGCACGAGAAACCCUAGCGCUUGGGUGCCUUGCAUAUGAGGGAAACGAGGUAGGAGCCGUCACAAACAUACCUCGUGGAGCCAAAUAAAUGAGUAUGUAGUUUGUGUACCUUUAUUCAUGUUUAUUAUUUGGUCAUGUCAUAAAAACAUAUGUUAUGUAAGAACUCAUCUGGGGACAGAUUAUAACAAGACUUCAGUGGCAAAAAAUACGUAAAUGGUCCUGGUUGAUGCACUUGCCGGUGACGCAGAAUCUUUGAGGCACCUUUCAUCAAAAGCUAUUUUACCAUAGGACGCACUCAACCCAAUUGAAGAAAACCAACAUGAAAGAAGUAUAUUGCAUAAACAAUAACUAAGGGAGUAAGAAAAACGGAGUUAUCAAAAGGAAAAAAAGCAACCAACAAAACUUCACUUGUUGUCUUGCCCAUUGAAGAUGUCGCACACUAUGUUGGGAUUGAAGAAGCUAAGAUCUAAGAGUACCGUGUAAGAUUUACCCCCAACCCCCAUAACCCUUGUACUCAAUCCGGAUUGAGAACCUCAAUUCCAUCGAUACUACAAACUCAUGACGAUGUUAUGAUCACUGCUAUGCAUAUUUACCCAAUUCCCCAUUCCCCGGAUCGAACCUAAACGCGGACGAAUGCAAAUGAGUACGCGAGGAGGUGAAAAAAGUGCUCACCGCCAUUGCCAAACUGCUGGAGGUGAUGAUGCGGAUGCCGGUGAAGGGGUCGGAAGUCGCCUUGCUGUUCUUUGAUCUACUGAACGCUGUCGCCGUCGGUGAGAGUGGAGGGAAGGGAGAGGGAGUGGCGAGGGGGUGGUGAGGGUAAUAACUGUCGGCUUUUCGGCAAGCAACGCGGCUUCUCGAGCGUGGCUCCUCGUGUGCAGGGCCCGCGACCCGCGUGCAUUGCGCGGGCCUGGCUUUGGAGAAACUACCAAUUCCAGCGUUGCUAGCGAGACAGGCCUAGAGAUGCUUUGAGUUUCGUACUAUGCAGGCCCAACAAUGAACACGGGCAACCAAACGGACCACAAUCUUCCCUUACGGGCCUGAUUGGCCUGUAUGCAGGCAACAAACAUGUCCGAAAGGUACCCUCUCUACUCUGCGCGUCUUUUUUACACUGCAGUAGUCCCCAACGGGGCCUCCUAUAUGAUGUUGCGUCAUAUAGACGCCCAAUGAACGCAGCCGGAAAUAUUUUUUUAAGGAACACCUGCAAUUUUAUUCAUACUCAUAAAAAUUACAGGUACACCGACUCGAUCUAAUUAAACCCAUUAAGAUCGCCAGAAUAGCGGCCAACCAGCUAUGCCAUGUGGCGCAAACUGGUUGCCUGUAGUGAGAAAGCUUUUAAAAAUAGAUGAAGGUGAGGAAUUUUUCUAAAUACUUCUUUUCUUUUUAGAUAGAGGUGAGGACUCUGUAUAUUUUUUUUAAGUGGCGCUCGUUCGUAGUCCGCGGUGGUAAUUUUUUUCUUUUUUUCUUUUUUUUAAGAUGGAGGUCAGGAUUUUUUUUUCUGAGAUAUUUUUUAGAGGGAGGCGAGGACCUCAUGUAUUUUUCUAAAUGAAAAUGUGCGCAUAGUUUUCUUUUAAAGCGCCCUAACAACUAGUGCAAGAAAAAAGGUCGCCCCAGCAGCGAACCGUAUUUAUAGCAGAAACAUGGACGUGUGUAGCGAACACGAGACGUCCGAUCUCAAGCGCAUGAUCCUGCCACUUGACACAAAAAGUUUUGGUGACUAAUGGGUAGCGCUGACUAUCAAGAACUAUGAAUAGUAACUUAUUUGGAAGUUUUCUGAAAUUUGAAACACGUUUUUUUUAAAUUGAAUCUUCUUUGAAACGUAAACGUUUUUCAAAAGUGUGAACAAUUGUUUGAAAAUGCGAUUUUUUUAACACAUGAACAAUCUCUGAAAAAUUGGAACACAUUUUGAAAACUGAGAACAAACAUUGUAAUUCCAAACAAUUUUUGAAAAUCCAUUUUUUUAACACAUGAACAAAUUUGAAAUUCUGAACAUUUUCUGAAAUUGCGAACAAUUUUUCAAAAACAGCAACAAAAUUUAAAACUCUUAUUUUUUUGAAAACAAGAACAUGUUUCGAAAUUCUAAACAUUCUGGAAAAAAGAUAACAAUGUUUUAGAACAUGAACAAAAUUUUGGAAUUUUCAAUCAUUUUUGAAACCAUGAACAAAUUUCAAAAUUCCAAUCUUUUUUGGAAAACACGAACAAUUUUUGAAAUCAUUAACAAAAUUUGGGAUUUUCGAACAUAUUUUUUAAAAAAUGAACAUUUUUUGAAUAUGUUGACCAUUAUUUGAAUUUUGUGGUUUUUAAAACAAAAAAUGAAAAUGAAAAAGAAACAGAAAAGAAAAAUAGAAACUGAAAAGAAACGAAAUUGUUUGAAAAUGCGUUAAAAGAAAACUGAAUCUCUUUUGAAAUGCGAACGUUUUCCAAAACUGUGAACAAUUGUUUGAAAAUGCAAUUUUUUUCAAAAGACGAACAAUCUUUGAUAAAUUGGAACACAUCUAAAAAAUGAGAACAAAAAUUGAAGGUCCAAACAGUUUUUGAAAAUUUGAACAACUUUUGAAACUUCAGCUUUUUUGAAAGCAUGAACAAAUGCUGAAAUUAUGAACAUUUUUUAAAAUCGCAGACAUUUUUUUAAAGGCAGCAACAAAAUUUUGAAGCUGACCUGGCUAAUACUCAAUCAACAAUUCCAAAUGUAGUGUCCAAAGAGAAUUACUCAAUAUUUACAAGCAUAACCCGGUAGCAGCAGCAUCCCAGAUGUCCAAAAGAUAUACAGAUGUCGAAAAGAAAUAAUAGUUCAAAGGGAGUUUCAGCGGUGUGGAAGCAAAAACUUAAGCAUGGGUGAGCCUUAUCCAUGCUUAACCACCUAGCUAAUGUCUCUGUAAACUCAACCUAGUCAUCACAAAGAGGAAUUAAUGUCUGUACAGGGCAUGUAUGUACACUGGCACACAAUUUCUAUCGAUGGCGAGAAAAGGACGGCGAGUAGCGUUUGGGAAGAGACCCCAUUUCAAAGCGACGCUCAUGGCGCCGGGGUGGCAGCAUCCUCUCCAGCCUGCUGAAUUGUUUUAUCCAUGCAGAGGAAACAAGGGGUAUGUAAGAUCGGAUGAAAAAUUACAGCUAGACAUAGAUGCGAAUUGAGCAGGGCAGGUAAGGUGUGCGGAGUUCAGUUACCGGUGCGUCGCCGCGGUCCUUCAAGACGUCCUCCCAUUCUUCAUCGCCUACCGCGAGUCCUUCCAUGACAGAAGCCAUGUCCUUUACUCUGCACAGGCAAAAUUGUGUCGCGCUUUCAGUUUCAGAGUUUUUCGCUAACUGGAGUGCACAUAUUCAAUUUUUUGUUGAUUUACUUGUUCUGCAUAGCAUCCAUGUUCAUCUUCACAUAGUAAAAGUAGUCCAGACAGUUAUUCACCUGUGAUAGAAGAAGAAAAAGAAGCCAGGUCAUUACUAAAGGGGAUUAAGCCAUGUGGCUAAGCACAGCAGCAUCAAGCCUCAAGCCAACCUGUAUGCUAGAUGGAACUUUCAGACAAUAACCUCAUGAAAUAGGAUAAACAUUAAUAAGAAAGAAAUCACCCAAGUACUGCAAAUGCAGAUGCCCAGGAAAAAGACCCAGCAAAUUAGUUUCAGACAAUAUCAUGGUAGUAUAAACACAGGGAUGUAAAAAAGCAGACCUCUCCUGUUCUCAAGAUUUCUUCUAUUUUAUCCAUAAGCCUGUUAUUAUCCCGAAUAAUGUCUUGAGCACUCCUGGAGUCUAGAGUCUCUAUGGCAUAAAAGAAGGUUAAUCAGGCAUGCAAGUUUGAUCAAAGGCGUCAGGACUAGAGAAACGCUGGUCAACGCAACAUUUACAGAGUAACAAAAUUACUAAAGCCUGUACAUCAGACACAAAACAAAAAAUACUCCCUCUGUAAACUAAUAUAAGAGCGUUUAGAUCACUACUUUAGUAUUCUAAACGCUCUUAUAUUAGUUUACGGAGGAAGUAAUAAAUAGCUACACAUAGUUGAUACAUUUUUUUGGCAACUAAAGAUAAUUUAAGGGGUUUAUAAUGCAAAAUAAAAAUAUAUGCAAAAAUACUUAUGCGCAGAAAAUCGUGAUAAACUGAACCCUCAAAAGAAGUGAUAUGUGGUAAAUGAAAGGAAAGUAUUUCUUGACAGAAUAACAUGAGAAAAUAAAGAGCGUAUGGAUCAUGGUAUGGAAAGCCAAAUCUACCUUUGGACAGGGGAUGCUUGUUGUUUUUCUUGUUAGCAACCUUGGUUCCCUUUGUCUGUCCAGUAAUAACAGAGAUUGCGGAGCACGGUGAAAUUACUGUUAGUUAAACAUCGAAAUACAACACUCGAUUUGUAAAGACAGGCUCAUAUCAGAUCAAUUUUCAUUCCUUCCAGCAUUGCCAUAAUGCUAAUAUAUAUUCAGUCAGGCGGAAAUAAGGAAGGUUGGGACAUUAACAUGUCGGCGUCUCUCAGCAUUAGUGAGCAAAGAUUGCAUGUCACAAAUAUUUGUCAGUCUACCUUCAUGAAUGGUCAUACAUAAUAGAAGCGCAAAUAUUUUAAGAACAAAUAUUUGUUCUUAAAAUGUUUCAGACCAAUGUGCUAAGCUAGAGUUCUGUAAAGAUGACAUUCAGAAGGACAUGCUGUACUGCAAUGCAAUGCAAUUACCUUGGUAAAAUUUGCUACUGCAGAUUUUUCUUGCCCCAGCUGUGCUUGCCUAGCAGCUUCCUUCUUCUGCCACAAUGACAAAAACUUGAUCAAGGCAUGGCACACAAGAGUUCAUCUAACCGGAUCAAAAUUAGGCCUAUCGGCAUUCUUGUGAUGUAGGAGUAUACAUUUAACCAGAUGAAACAUUCUCUAGUCGGAGCAAGUGCCCAAAUACGUACCUCCAAGUCUGACAGCCAGCGGAUCCGAUACGCGACAUCAAGCGCCGUCUUCUCCGCGGCAGAAGAGUCAGUAAAGGGAGGGAAUCCAUGGCGGAUUCGGCAGAAGAGUCAGUAAAGUCUUGGUGUCACUCAGUCAAAACAGAGGCUCUGCUCUGCUCUGCUAAUGGCGACAGCAAGGCGCAGCACGUACCGGGAGAGGCCUCGGUGCAGCAGCUGGUCCUCCUCCGCGGACCACGCCGUGGACGGCUUGUCGCCGCACCGCGCCGCCACGCGAACCAUCUGGGCCACCUCGCUGUCAUGCUCCUACUGCGGCGCGUCGAGGUAUGCGGCCUGCGGGUGGUCCGGCAUCGGCUGAUAAGCGCCGCCUACCGGAGAGUCGGUGGCUCUCGCGUGGGCGCAGCCCAGACCCGGCGAACCGGAGGACGACUGGCUCGGCACGGCCGCGGUGGGCACGGGCGGCAAGUCGGCCAUGGCCGGCUGGUACACCGGCAGCGAUCUAAUCAGGCACUCCAGCGGCACGCAGAGCGAGUUGACGCCCGCCCCGUCGCUCAUGAGCGCGCUCAACCCGUCGCCGCUCAUCAUCCUCGUGAGCGGCUCCUCCACGCCGCCGCCGCCCGCGGGAGAGUCGUCAGCGGCCCUCGCCCGGGCGCAGCCGAGACCGGGCGAACCGGAGGACGACCGGCUCGGCCCGCCCGCGGGGGGCACGGGCGGGGAGUCGGCCGUCCCCGUUUGGCACGCGGCCAGCGAUCUCGCCAGGAACUCGGGCGGCAGAACGCAGAGCGCGUCGGCGCCCGCCUCGUCGCUCAAGAAGGCACUCAGCUCGUCGCCGCUCAUCCCCAUGAGCGCCAGCGGGUCCUCCAACUCCAAGCCGUCCACGAGCCGGUCGUUCUCCAGGAACGCGUCGCGGGCAAGCAUCGGCGGGCCCUCCCCCGGCGCCAGCGCGCCGUUCCCAGCGCCCCGCGCCAACCCGUACAUGAGGAAGUCGUUCCCCGCGCAGCCCCCCUGCAUCUGCAUGGGCAGGUCCGCCGGGCGGUGGGCGGCGGCGACGUAGCUAGAGCCCGGCGCCUGCGGAGGAGUCGGAGUCGGGUGGAAGAAGGGCGGCUGGGCUUUGCUCGCGUCGUCGUGGCCGGAGAGGAGGUGCAGGCAGAGCUGGUGGAUGUCGGGGCCGAGCGCGUCCAUCUUACCCGGCCGGGGCUGGCGAUCGCGGAGGAGGGGAGGGAGGAGAGCUAGCUAGCUAGGGUUCCGGGGAGGAUGGGGGUUGGGGAUUGAUCUCAUCUCGAUCGGGGACGGGAGGGGAGACCCGGGCGGCGCCGCGACGUAGGUAGCGUAGGCAGUUGAGAAGUUGAGAUGAGAGGGAGAGGGAGAGGGAGGGCGGGCGUCGUGGGGGAAGCGGUUUUCUUUUCUUCCCGAGUGAAUGAAACAGAAACGGCUAGCCAGCCCACAAGGGAAGCCAAGUCCUCUUCCUCCUACAUCCACCAACGGGCAAGUUGUGAGCAUAGCUCGAUGCCACCUAUGCCCCUCCGCCUCAGCGGAGCAAGCUUUUUCAAACUCACGAGCUUGUACAAGCAGCGACCGGGAAGUCCUUGAUGCAUACCAGGGGAUGCCGGCGGUCAUAUGAUCUGCGAAGCAAAUUGCCACCCCGGAGAAGAUACCACAGAUAAGGGCCUUUAGAAACUCCAAAGACCACGAAAGCCAGCCGAAUACAUGCCGAUCCACUGGAAACGUAAACUUGCUGGAUCCCGGAAGACCCGCCAGAGACACGUAUCCGCACGCCCUCUGCCAGAUAGAAGCACAUUAAUGGAACAGGGAAAGAGUGGGGAAAGCAUUAUUCCUACACUGGAACAACACCGCCGCCUUGCCGCCCCAAGCCAAACUGAAAGACUCUUAAAGAAAACCUAAAAAAAGUCACCCAUGCAUUAGGGUUCAAAUCCUUCAAAAUUGAGACACUUAUUUUGGGACAAAGGGAGUAUGAUCUAAAGAGCUUCCAUAGGGGAUAAUCCUUCGGGUUCAAAUCCUCCAAAAUUCCUACGAAAAUCCUUCAAAUCAAAGAGGCCCUACCCCACAAAAAUAAUAAUUCAAAGAGGCCCUAAAAAGGAAACUGAAACUGAAAGUAAAGAAAAACAAGCAACUAGAACAUGCUCCAUUGAAAAUUAUGGAGUUGCGCUCUGUUUUGGCCACCAACAGCUAAGUAUGCAUUGAAAAUUAUGUAUUUCUUUGUCUCCUGAAAGUGUCUAUAACGAGAGCUUUUCUACCAGGGGCAAAAAUCCCUCUGAUAUUCCAGAAGAUACUACUCAUGACAACAUUUUUUGCAGACCUUGUACCAAAGGUCCUCACUAAUAAGCAAAUCAUCAGCCUAAUCAUGAAACUGAGACUCGUCAUUACCAGUAACUAACUUGUUAUUUACACGAUUAGUGGGAGACAGGAGAUCAUCAGCCAUAUCUCCAUGCUCAAAAGGUUUUAAACUUUUAUCUACAUGAGUUAAAUCAACUAGAGGGUGAUCAGCUAGAACAUCAGAAAUAUCUACUCCUGCAGUGUGAGCAACAAAAUGAAAUCUAUCAUUAUGCAGUAAAGAGGGGUUAUGGUUGGUACCUGCAGGCUUAAGGAUCUCAAGAUUUUCACCUUCUUGUUCUCCUGGGCUAGCUCCAUCAUGGUCUUCCCCUUGCAGUCAAAUCUUGUGCUCUGCAGCUUGGACAGGGCUCCACUUCUCUUUCAAAGCUGGUGGCAUCUGGGAUAACUCCUUCUGGCUGCUCAUCUUGUUGGUCUCCCCCCAUAGGUUCUUGUCCAGCAUCAAUCAGAUCCAUCUCCUAGCAAAUUGAAGCACUGAUUUUCAUCAGGGUGGUCAGCUACAAUCAUAAGUUAGUUGAGUUACAUAGCUAGUCAGUAUUUGCCAAUCUCAAAAUCAGGGGCUCAAGUGUCGAAUUGAUAUGCCACAUCACCGCCGAUGUGGAUAGACGCAUCGGCUCCUGUCCAGAUUCGACAUGUUUUGAAACUUGGUUGAUCAAAUAACCAAAUGUUGCAACAAUUUGAGGUUUAUUUAGUAUAUUCUUAAUCAUGAAUAUACAUACACAGACGGCAAAAAGAAAUCGAAUAAACUGGGCAUUAUUUUCGCUCGUGCGACGUGACCACAAAGAUACGCCUACGAUCCACACGCUGGAAUGGUUUCUUCUUGCUCAUAAAAGCUAAGCCUACACUACACUUCUCAGUCCGAACUCCGAAGCCGAGUGCCGCAAAAAAUUUCGAAGCAGCAUCGUGCACGUAGGAAACAUGAACUGCAGGUGUUCUAUUCCCUAUAAGCGAUGAACUUCGCAAUGUCAUGGAUCCCAGCCUCUCUGUAGCAGUCGGCGAUCCGAUCCACGACUUCGUCCCAGUUGCCGUCAACCGUGGCCAGAUCCAUCAGAAACGCCGCCUCGUCAAGGACCACCUGCAGUUCGAGAAGCUCAUGUGACAGGGUGCAGGGAAGCAACUGGGCAUCUAUGAUGGAAUGGUAGGCAGUUUGUUGUUACAGACCUGCUCUGGAGCUUUUCCUUUCUUCAGAUCGUCUUGUUUGCCCUCUUCGGAUACCUUCUCUCUUAUGAACUCGAUCUGCUCAUCCUCCCACCCAGCUAGUUCAGCUGCCUCCUGUCGAAGCAGAAAGUAAAAGGUUGCUCAGCUGAGACAUAGAAGCAGAAAGUGAAAAGCAGAAGGUAACAGGAGAAACCAUACUUCGUAUCUACAGCCUAGUGUCCACCAUGGUGACUUCAAAGCCACUCGAGCUGAUUCUUUGGCUUCAGAUGUACGCCCAAUUCUGAAGAAAAGAACAAGCAAAAUUAGGAACCCUGAUUCUUUACAUGUACACCACAGAUUUUAUUCAGGCACUUAUAUAGAUGAAAUGUUAUCUGAUUUACAACAUGUAUGACAGCGCAGUUGCCAAACAUUAGCACGUCAUUGCUUCGUUAUUUAUUCACAACGUUAGUGUUGUCCUGCUAGUCCACAGCACUUGGAGAACUUCUUAGAUCUCUAUUCUUUUACGAAAUUUACACCACAAUCAGAUAACUCUCAAAUCAGAACUCAAUUGAAAGUACUAUUAGCAAUCUUAUAUCAAUAGAUAUUUUUACCACAAACGAAUUCUAGUCGGUUCGGUCCAGCACAAGCAAAGGUGCAGCAGAACAGCAAGAUGCCAUAAUAACUGCUUGACUCAUAUUUUGCUAGGGAUCACCAUUCACCAGCGCACACCGUGCUCAUGAAAAGUGUAACUACACAGUGAGGGCCUAAUUGAUAGAACAUCAAUCACACACCUAGUAGAUAUUUCCGGUCAAAAACUACCUAGUAGAUACAACAUCUGAUGAAAUAACAUAUAAUUAUGCGAUACAGCUCACACAUCAGUACCUUUUUUGAACUUCUGAGUUGAACACAAAGGGUCUUCCAAAUCCAGGAAAUUGAUCUCUAGUAUAGAAUUCUGAAGUAAUAAGAGCGGAGACCUGAAGGGCAAACGCAACGUACAUUAAAUCUCGUCAGAUAAACAUGAAUAAUGUAUCUCCGGAGAAGGAAAGAGUUUUACAUUAUCUCCUUUUUCCAGGUGGCGUGAUGCUUUCCUUUCUAGAAUGUCUGGAAAGAGUCCAACCUACAGUAAGAUAUCAGUAAAGAUAACUCUCCUCAAACUCAGUAGUUACAAACUGAGGUGUAUCUCUCAACCUUCUUCAACAAAUAGACAUCAAGAUCUGCCGUCUGCGAUUCUUUGAGAUCCCCUCUUUUGUAAAUGUUUGGACCAGCUUCCCCUACAGCAGACCAUAAAUCGUCUCGAACAGCAGACCAUAAAUCAUCACCACUCUCAGCUCUGCCAUCAGCCUCAACAAGUAUUCUAUGAAUAUAUUGAUUGACCUGAUAAAUAUGAGUAAAAUUUGUAAACGGAUUGCAUGUACACAUGUAGUAAAAUACUUCCUCCGUCCCAAAAUAAGUGUCUCAACUUUGUAUUAACUUUAGUACAAAGUUGUACUAAAGUUGAGACACUUAUUUUGGGACGGAGGGAGUAUAACAUUGCAAACACAUAGCAAUACAGACUUACGUUUUUAGCCAAAAGCCAUAGCCCAUGGCUACGCACUUCCACUACAGGCAUUUCCAUCCUGAAAGACAAGCAGAUGUAGACACACCAUUUAAAUACCAGUUCCAGCUUCCAGAGGUGAAAACAAUAAAAAUUUAUAACAGUAUAUGGAGGGGCAACUAACCCACUUGGAGCAGUUGGCCAUCUCAGUAGGGAUGUCAAGUUACCUACAUUUUGAAUAAUACUGUCAGGCCUUUGAGCUUACAUCAUAAUGUCCAUAAUCAUUGUCCAAGCGAAUAAUCCAGUCUAGACAAAUCCAAACCUUGUGGGCUUUCCGACAGGGGAACAACAAGUGGAAUGAGCCCUCUCUUAGCUCCAGGAGAAACUAUCUUCUCACCUGCCAAGCGCCAAAUGUAUUCUUGACAUCAAGGUGAAGAGAGACCAGGAGCUACAAUUUUAACACAAUGCUUUCUCUAGGUGGCGCUAUUCUAAGUUUCUGACCAGAGACCACCUAUGGAAAACUAAAAUUAAAACUUCUACUGUAUUAAGAAAGACAAUGGGAUCACAGUUGUUGACACUGCUGAAACCCAUUGAGUAAGCAUUGCCCAAUAAUAGAUACUCCCUCUGUAAAGAAAUACAAGAGCAGUGAUCUAAACACUCUUAUGUUUCUUUUCGGAGGGAGUAGAUGAUUUCAGUUUGCAUGACAAAGGGUCUGUUGGCACGACCGAAGAAUCCAUGGAAAUGAAAAAUGUUACUGAGAUAUGCGAAGUCGUACCUCGUGCAUGAAGCACGUUCAGUAAAGAGUUCAGAUGCUCCGGGGGGUCGGUCACGGCGAUUUCCUUGACAAAGGACACAUGAUCUGAAGAAUUCAACAGGAACAAAGAAAGAACUAUCAGAAACCUCGGCUAGCAAACGGAAAAGGGGCAGAGCAGAGUAAUUGCAUGGAUGAUGAUGCAAUCAGCAGAGCAGCAUAGGCAGAAAUGUGCUCUGUUAAGCUGCAGCUCCACUGGAUUCUGCUCAAACAGUCUACUAGAGAGUAACCACAUCUCUGGAAAAUGGUAGCUGAGGUCCAUUCCUAUUUCCUAGAAGUAAUGAUACGAGUCUAUAACCACAAUGACAUUGCGGAUCCAGCCGGCUCCCCGAAUCUAAUGCCAUAGCAGAAGCUCAUCAACCAAUAAUCAUAUAUACAAGUAUGUCUUCAUUAGAUUUAUUUGAAUGACAAAAUAAGCCUAAGAAUCCAUCUCUCUAUAAGCAGCGCGGACUACUCGAUUCAUCGAAUAGGAUGGCCGCAAUCAUGCAGGGAACUAACUAACAUCCAUAAGAAGCACUAUGCGGCGGCCUCACCGUACGAAGUGGCGGCGGCGGCGGCGGCGACCGAGGAGGAGGAGGAGGAGGCGCAGCGCGCGGCGACGAACGACACCCCUCCGAGCGCGCGCCGCGGCGCCUGCAGCACGGACGCGGCCGCGGCCGCCGCGGGCCUCAUCUCGCCGUGGCCGGGGGGUGCGCGGGCGGCGGAGCGAGCGGCGCUGGGACUGGGACCGGGAGGGCUUGGGCGACGCGGGGCGCUGCUGGCCUCACGCUGCCUUCGCUUGGGUUGGGCCUAACAAACAAAGCUGUCCCGAUCCGACAAGACGGGGACCGCUCCCACCUACGGCCCAGCAGAGAGCCGAGCCGAGAUAUCGAUCCAAUGGCUGCCGAAUUCCGGCCCAGGAUUUCCAGAUUCCCUCCCUCCCUCACCCACCCACCCACCCACCAAAAAAGAAAAAAAAAACAAUCCGCGCGUGAGCGNNNNNNNNNNNNNNNNNNNNNNNNNNNNNNNNNNNNNNNNNNNNNNNNNNNNNNNNNNNNNNNNNNNNNNNNNNNNNNNNNNNNNNNNNNNNNNNNNNNNNNNNNNNNNNNNNNNNNNNNNNNNNNNNNNNNNNNNNNNNNNNNNNNNNNNNNNNNNNNNNNNNNNNNNNNNNNNNNNNNNNNNNNNNNNNNNNNNNNNNNNNNNNNNNNNNNNNNNNNNNNNNNNNNNNNNNNNNNNNNNNNNNNNNNNNNNNNNNNNNNNNNNNNNNNNNNNNNNNNNNNNNNNNNNNNNNNNNNNNNNNNNNNNNNNNNNNNNNNNNNNNNNNNNNNNNNNNNNNCGACGCGCCGCUCCCCUCCCCGCCGCCGACAGCUCAAUAGGAACGAUCAAGCCAACAACCCAGGUAACCAACGUGGCUUUCUCUCCCCCCGUCUCCAUGGAUUGCUCCAAUCAAGCUCGGGCUUGGCAUUGCUGCAGGAGCCUGGGAGCGUGGGCGCGGCCAGGAGGUGCCUCUUCCGCGUCCUACACCUAUGCUGCGGGAUGGAGGAGGCUAGCUCUAGCAUGGAAGGGGCCAGCGGCGGCCACCCGGCCUCCGUCUCCCGCGCCAGCUCCGAGGACGCCGACUUCUUCGACACGCACCGCCAGGAGGACGACGACGACGCCGACGGCGCCUACACUGCCUCCGACAUCGCCGAGCGCUUCGUCCGCGUCAUCGACGGCAAGGUGCACGUCGAUGACGCCGACCCCGUCCGCGGCGCCGUCUCCAAGUUCGGCGGCAUCCUCGACUGGCGAGAGGUCCCUCCCCCUGUCGUCCGCGCUUCUGUCACCCGUCCUCUGUCGGUCGGUCGCUCGGUCUCACGGUUUGCUGUGGUUUGGUUCGCUCGUGCAGCGGCGGCAGCAGGCCGAGCAGGAGCUGGGCGUGGUGCACGCGGAGGCCGCCGAGUACCAGCGCCGGAUCCGGGAGGCGGACGCCGGCAGGGCGGACGCGCAGCAGGACCUCAUGGGCGCCACCGGCGAGAUCGACGACCUCUGGCUCACCGUCAAGCGCGCGCAGAUCGCCGAGGCGCAGGCGCGCAAGGACUCGGAGCUCGCCAAGCUCCGCCUGCGCAAGCUGGAGAAGAGCGCCCGGGAGCGCGCGGCGGCGAAAGCCGAGCUCGACUCCGUCCGGGGCCGCCACGCCACCGCGCUCGCCGACCUGCGCGCGGCCAGGGCCGAGAUGGACGCGCUCAGGAAGGAGCGGGAAGCCGUCGCGGAGGAGGCCAGCGCCGCGGCGGCGAGGGUGAGGGACACUGCUGGCGAGGCGGUCCGGGCCGGCGAGGCCCUGCGGGAGGCCGCCGGGGAGUUCGAGGUGCUCAGGGCCGAGCUCGAGUCCGCGCGCGCCGCCCACGACGCGGCGGAGGAGAAGAGGAUGAGGCUGGCGCUGGCGUGGCGGGAGGACAAGGUGCGGUGGCAGAACCAGCUGGAGGAAGCCGAGAAGGAGGUGCGGAGGGUGAGGGAUGACCUGGCCGCGGCCGGCGACCUCGAGUCCCAGGUGGCCGCCGCGUCCGAGCAUCUCGCCACCCUCAGAGCCGAGCUGUUCGCGCGCGCGGUCCAAGGGGCCAGCGAGGAGGAGGAGGAGGAUAAGCAGACGUCGGCGGCGAGCAGCACGCCGGCGAUGGUGGACAAGGCGAAGAAGGAGCUCGAGGAGGCGAUGGCGAGCGUCGGGAAGGCCAAGGACGAGGGCAAGAUCCUGCACGUCGCCGCCGCGUCGCUGCGCGCGGACCUGGAGAAGGAGAAGGCGGAGCUCGCCGCGCUACGGCAGAAGCAGAGCACGUCGUCGUCCGCGUCCAUCCCGUCGCUGGAGGAGGAGCUGAGGCGGGUGACCUCCGAGCUGGCCGCGGCGCAGGCAAGAGCGAGGGAGAGGGACGAGGCGAAGAAGGCGACGCCCGAGCAGCUAGACGAGGCACGGCGAGAGGCGGAGCGAGCCAAGGCGAGCGCGCGGGCGACGCAGGAGGAAGUCGCCGCGGCCAGGGAAGACGCGCGCGUGACCAGGGCCGCGGUCCAGGCCACGGAGGCGCGGCUGGAGGCCGUGCUGCGGGAGGCCCUCGCCGCGAAGGCGUCGGCGGAGGCCGCCGCGGCCUCGGCGGACGCGCUGCAGCAGGCCCAAGUCCCCGAAGACUGCGUGGCGUUGAGCACGGAGGAGUACGAGGAGCUGAGCCGGCGGGCGCGGGGGACGGAGGAGGCGGGCGGCGAGCGGGUGGCGGAGGCGCUGAGGCAGGUGAAGGAGGCCCAGGAGGCGGAGGCGCGGGGCCAGCAGAAGCUGGCGAAGCUGGGGCGGGACACGGAGCUGCGGAGGCAGACGCUGCGGGCGGCGACGGAGGAGUGCGAGCAGGCGGAGUCGGCGAAAGUGGCGGCGGAGCGGGCGCUGCAGGCGGAGCUGCGGCGGCGCGCGGGCAGCGAGACGGCGUCGCCGCCCCGCGCGGGGCUGGCGGAGAUCUCGACGCUGGAGGGCGGCGACGGGCGCGGCGGGAACCCGCACAUCCUGAGCCCUCGGGCCGGGUACAUGCCGCGGGCGGACGCGGCGGCGAUGGCGGCGGCGGACGAGGCGGGGCAGAAGAAGCCCUUCUUCCCGCGCAUGGUCAUGUUCCUGGCCAAGAAGAGAGCGCAGACAUGGAACGCCAAGUGAUGCGUGGAUCGGAUCAGCUUUGCUGCUGGCUGUGAUGAUAAUACUGAUGCAUCAUCGGACAUGUGUAAUGUGUAUAUUGAUCAAUGAGGUGGAUCAUGAUAUACGAGUGACUCUUUUUGUAAAUGGUUUUUGGUCUAACAAAGAUGAUCAUGAGAAUUUUUGGCUGGGUGCUUGCAAAUCAAAGUUGGUUUCUGUGGUGCAAAUUUCGGAUCCAAAUUCCAGUUGAUGUUUCUCUGCAGUAUACAUGGACACAUGCAUGUUGUAGGCGCGUGUCACUAGAGGUUCAGUUAUUUGGUGGGUUUGUGCUUGCGUUCGGUUUUUCUGGCUUAUAUAAAGCGUUAAUCCAAAGAAAUACCAUCAAAGCCCUUAUAGCUCAGUGGUAGAGCGUCAGUCUUGUAAACUGAAGGUCCGUAGUUCGAUCCUGCGUGAGGGCAUUUCUUUUUUUGCUUCUGAUUUGUUUUGUUCUUCUUCUUUUUUUUAACAGGAAGCCCUUUAUGGCAAAGCUUUAUCACUUGAAAUCACACUUACACCGUCUGCUAAAAAAACUAAAGAUGAAACCACGUGGACUCCAACAACAUUGACGGUCGAUCAUCGCGACCCUGGCGAGUUGGCACAUUAGCUUAUUAUUAUUAUUAUUAUUAUGUAUUACAAUGCUCAAUAGAAACCUUCAUGAACCCGUCCAUCAUACUACGACAUUCAUAGAAUUGGCGUUGAGAUCAUGGAACAUCCGGUGUUAACUUUCAGGGCUUCCUCGACAACAACCGGAAAUUCCCACUUAUUCCAUGAGUUGCUCCUGUUUAUCAAAAAUAUGUGCAAGAAAAUCACCAACAUCAUUGCAGGGGAUUGGUGGGGGAGAAAAAUGAUGAUAGGAGGAAAAUGCACUGGAAGAAGUGGUCUGAUUUGGCUAUACCCACACAGAGAGGGAUAUGGGGUUUAAAUAUCUGGAAAUGUUUAACAAGGCCAUGUUGGUAGAACAAGCUUGGAGACUAGUAGCCUGGCUGAAUUCCUUGUAUGAACAAGUUUUAAAGGGGAAGUGCCUUCAUGGUACUGAUUUCGUAUCGGCUACGAAGGGAAGGAACUCAUCGCAUAUUUGGCGAGCUAUUUUAAUUGGCCGUGAGGUCCUUUGCCAUGCUGUGAUUAAGAGAGUCAGGGACGGCAACUCUACGACAGUUUGGGGGAGCGAUUGAACCCCUAAUAAUCCUGGUUUCAAACCAACCGUCCGACUCCCUAAUGUGAAUGCGGUGAUGGCAGAAGAUCUUAUUGACCCAAAAUCAAGAAGAUGGGAUGUGGAGAGAUUAACAACAAACUUUAUCCCUGUGAACAUAGAGAAGGCUUAGUGUGGUUCAUGGUCGGUUUGGAUACCUAGGAAUGCUAUAUAGCAUGGUGAAAGAGGACCUAGCCAUUUCCAAUGAUGUUAAGUACACCGUGUAUGUGACCAUUGAUCUCUCCAUCAUAAUCAAGGAGAUGGCGACGCUUCUGACCAAAACAAGUUGCUCAUUGGUCUUCGACGGCUGAGGUUUUAUGGAGGUUCAUGUUGAUCAAGUUUUGAGUAGUCUAAAUCUUCUCUAUGACAUCAUGGACCACGGGAGCUGGGGUGCGAGGACACAACGAAGCGUUAGUUUGGGCUUAAGCUUUUUGUUAUGAGCAUGCAUCAAAUCAUUUGAUGAUGGAAGCUUUUAUUGUGAGGGAUGGUAGUGGGUUAGCAUGUGACUCUGAAACGUAAUUAUUGAAACCCUGAAAAGGAGGGGUUAGCAUGUGACUCAAGAAGUUGUCAAUAUCUGGAAACAAAAAGGAGGGGAGAUAAAAAAACUACUAGCAUCCUUCAUGAAGUUGAUGAAAUCGGUAAAUGUUUUGAUAGCUUCCAGCUGGUUGACCGUUGGAAGAGAAGCUAAUGAACUUGCACAUAUUUGUGCUAUGAGAGCUAGAAGUUCUAGGGGCAUUGUAUUUGUAUCAAUUUUAUUCCGAACUUCUUGGAAACUUGUCUCGAAAAUGAUCGUAAUCUCCCAGGUUAAAUGAAUGAAAGCCAUUGGUUUGCAAAAAGGGGAGAACCAGUUAUCACACACUUUUCUUUUAGCAAAAAUCAAUCAUCGUGCUAAGCUAUCAGAUGGACACCAGCACGACAGCCUAUGUAGUUAUGGCGUCCUACUCCCGUCCAAGACGUGUCCGAUGUACGCGAGGCUAGUGAGACAGUAGCUACAAAUGCACUUUUUUUUAAAAAAAAAAUAGGGCAACCCGAGAAAUCCUAUUCGCCAUGCGCUGGUGGCAAACAGAGGCCGCGACGCUCACUGAACAAUUUUUUAAUAUACAAUGCAUAUACGCUGAAGUUGAAAAAACACACACAUACAGAACAAUUUUCUACAUAUUAUUCUCAAUGGUUUUUUAGCUCCGUAAAAAGCAACAUCAGUUUAUUUUUAGGAAAACCAACUAAAGACCGAAGAGAAAAAACAUAAAAAAAGCUCAAGGCAAAGUGGGCUGACGCACCCAAACAUCUCCCUUCCGCGUAUUUCUUUGGGGCCCGCCACGCUAGCAACGGCCCACAGGACCAGCCGCUUCAGCACGCGCACACGCGAGACCCUCGACGCCUCGCUCGAUUCCCUUCCGUAGAUCCAGACCGGCGGCGGCGCUACUACGACUCCGGCGACGGCGAGGCUGCCACCCCCCUGUUCCGCUCUCCCUCCCGCCUCUCCGCUCCCCCCCUUCUCCGCUCCGGGUUCCCGAUACGCGGCUUCACAAAGUCAAAAGCAGUCGAGCGGACGGUGAUUAGGAAACCGGACGCCACCGAGCGAACCAAACAAAGCCAGUAUCCUGUAAAAAAGAAUCGGAAGCAAUGCUUUCUUAUUGCGGAACCCAUUACGCCACCUGAGCAGCAACCAAAUGUGCCGUGUAUGUAUUAUCUUGCACUGGGUGUGUGUAGUCUGGCGCGACAUUGCGGGGUGUAUCUGUUAAGCUUGGUGAGCGUCGUUAGUUUAUAUGCAUGUAGCUAGGAUGUCACGGUGUGUUGGUUGAUGCUGGUUCUAGUGCAAUGUGGGGUUGCGUCAGUGUGCCGGUAUUUUUGUCCGGUGCGUUCGUGGGUAUGGAAUUUUUAGACGUGCAUAUUAUUUUUGCUACAAUGUACACAAACAGGAUAAAGAAUGGCCAUCUCAUAGUGUCGUGUUCAGGAUUAGGUAGGACAAGAAAAAAGAUCAUUCACAGAUGGAGAACGAUUCGGUGCAGAGUGACUCCAUUUGCAAGUCCCCGGUGCACAUUAGUGUUUUCUCAAGUGGCGAGGCAUCACUCAAAACCUGAACCUACCCGAGUCGAACGGCACCAUAAAAAACCGGCAUCACAUUAGUUUUUUUUUUUGUCUCUAGAAGUAGAAUUUUACAGUGGUUAUUAUUGAACCAUUAGCUGUUGACAUCUUCUAACUGUACAACAUACCUUUAGCAGUUUCACGAUUUCCGUUACAUGUGAUGAUCCAAUAGUUACAGUUUCCUCUGCACAUUUUAAUUCUAGAUCAUAAUACCUUAUUUACGCUUGUUCUAUUAUCUGCUACAGCUUGCUCUCUUAUCUGCUACAGCCUUGAUUUGUAACUUUUUCUAAGGAUGCCUUUUCCUUCUAUUUUAGGAUAAGAGCUUGCUCUUUACUCUACUCAGAGAGGAGGCAGGCAGAGGCUAACUGCAUAAGAAAAAAGUAAUCUGACAGAUAGCAAGCUUAUCCUUAUUUUCAUUGUUCUGUAUAGAUUGUUUCCUUACUCAUGGAUUAUAUUUGAUCUAAUAUGUGAACAAUCUAUUUAAUGUAGGUGAUCACUGAGAAGGCUGGGAAGAGUGAUAUCCCUAACAUUGACAAGAAAAGGUUAGUUCUGCUCAAACACUCCAUACUCUUUAUGUAGAACGAGAGAGGCAUGCCUGUAGCCAUACCGGUGUGGUGUGUGUGGCGGCGCAUAGAGACAACCUCGUGCCUCUCUUUGUCUAGGUCGCUAGUCACUUGACCAAAUGGGCCUAGGCCUCAUGGGCCAAUAGGGAUGGGCCUCUCAUACAACACUCUCCCUCAAGAGGGGUGAUUGAUAUCUAUCGUUCCCAUCUUGUCACAGGCUAAACUGCAUUAUCUGGUUACCAGUCCUUUAUUCAAGCAAUCUGCAAUUAAUUGCCAUGGAUUUACAUGCUCUAUGUUGAUAAUCCCAGCAUCCAACUUUCUUUGAUAAAGAAUCUGUCUAUCUCCACAUGUUUGGUCUAUCAUGUUGAAUUGAGUCGUUUGUUAUAUUAAUUUCUGACUUGCUAUCACACCAUACAUUCGUGCAGUUGAUCUUCAAUAUCUUCGGCUCUUCUAAUAGAUUCCUUGUCCAUAAGACAUGUUUAUGUAUUCAUCCUCUGCAGUUGAUUCUGGAAACAAUAUGUUGUUUCCAAAUCACCUAUGCACUAGAUUUUCUCCUACGAAAACACAUCAACAUCGCAAUAAUUACUAGCUCGUAUGGCGGUUGCGGAUCUCCGCAGCGAAGUGGCCUGAUGGCCGGCGUCGAAUGCCGUUGUAAGGCGUCGAGCUCAUCACUAGCCGCCGCCGUGUCCAAUUAUGCAAUGGGCUGGCCCCACAGUGUCCAGCGCGAACGCUAGUAGUACACUAUUGGCAUAUGAUUUAACUCCAACAUGUUUGUCUGUUGUGGACUCAAAUUUAUAUAUCUUUAUGGUCUAAAAGUAGUUGAUAUUUAUGCAUUAAAAUUUUGUUGCAUGUCAUCAUUAUUUUCUAAUAUAUGAUUUAGACAGGACCAAUGGCUGUAGUUAUGGUUUUGGCGGUUUCUUGUGUGGGUGGAGCUAUCGCGGCAGUAACUGGAGUCGUUUCAGUCUGGCAAUCUUACCUAAGGCAUAAAGCUAGACGUGAAAAAGAGGAAAUCUGUCGUAUCUGCGGAAAACCAGUCAAACUUCGACUAUUAGGAGAACACUUUGAAAAUCAUGGGUAUGGAAUUGUAGUACAGAUGUGUAUACAUGUUUGUUUUACUUUUCUCACCCUAAUACUCAAUGCAAUGUAGAGAUAAGAAAGGGCAAUCAUCAGAAGAUGAAUACGUUGACAUCAAUGGUGCUGAUACUGCACUGUUUGCAUAACAUGGUAAGGCUUGAUUUAAAUCUUCUCAAAUCAGUUCUUCAGAGCUUAUUUAUGGGGAAUGCUUCUAUGAAUAUACAAUUGUGUUUGAUAGGUAUGUCGAUGAUUUUGACAUUCGUGUCGCAAGCAAUACAUAUGCUUAAGAUUUAUAGUUUCACUGAAAUAACUAAUUUGCUACAAGACGCACUGAAACAAAACAUGCGUUCUUACAAAGCACAUGUGCCAAGGAUGCUUGCAUGAUUAUAACUUGUCCAUGUCUUGCAUGGGCGUUGGAGAUUUUCGAUAUGAAGAACUGGGCUGCGACUUGCAUCCUUCCUCUAGAUGCUAUUUCCGAAGAAAAAAAAAGACAAGCAUUUCCGCAAGAAAUCAAGAUUUAUCCAAUUCAAAAAGUUGUUAGCCACUGUUAGUAAGGACAUGGUAAAACAAUGCUGGGUCAGUGAUUAAGCUAAAGAAGUAUAGCAAGCAUCGCCAAGGAUAAUGAUGCCACUUGCUUAGCUUUUACUUACUAUAAAUAAAUAUGUAAAAGUUUAAUUGACAGCGCAUGCAUGCUGGAAUGACUUUGACUAAUGAUUGUUGGUAAUUCAUUAUUUUCUACUUGGAUUGUUAUUAACCGGACAUUGUUGUUGAUGCUCACAGGUGGGUGCGAGGCGAUGAGAGAAAAGGGGGUUUUGCCACUUGCGAAAUGGCGAGGCGUCGGUUGGGUCAUAACUUUGAAAUAGCAAAAGGGUUUGAGGAUAUAUAGUUAAGUUGAUGUGGAGAAGAAAAACUUUCCUUUAGUAGUAAAAUGCACUUGGGUGACUGUUUACAACAAUCGUUCUGUGAGAGUGGUUGCAAGAAUUCUUUGCUUUUGUUCGUUCUGCAACUGGUUGCUUGACUAUGAACAAUUGUUGGUGUGAUGUUUCUUGUUGCGCCCGCAGGAAGUUUAUUCGACUGGUUUUUCUCAACUCUGGCUCGCCCCGUUUGUUGGUACUGUAUAAAUUAGUCAAGUGUGUGUAUACUUCAACUAUUGAUCAAGGGCAACUCGCUUUUCCUUUUUUAUCAUCUACUCCCUCCGUUCGGAAUUACUUGUCGCGAAAAUGGAUGUAUCUAGAUGUAUUUUAGUUCUAGAUACAUCCAUUUCCGAGACAAGUAAUUCCGAACGGAGGAAGUAUAUAAAACAACCUCAUUCUUUUUUUAAUUUAUGAAUCAAGAUCCUAAGGAGCGACUUAAAAAACUCGUUUUAUGCUUAGCUUUGCUGUCUGCUACCCAUGGAGUGGGUGUACAGCGAAUAGGGGUACUUGUGUGGUCAAAUGGAGUUGAAUAAGAUGUUACUAAACCCAAUAUGCUAUGCUCACAUAUUGGUUGUAAUAACAACUUCGUAUCAUGGGACAGCAAAACAAGUAAACAACUUCUUUCUCCACCUUUAUACUCUCUCCGUCCGGAAAUACUUGUCGUAGAAAUGGAUGAAUCUAGAACAAAAAUACGUCUAGAUACAUCCAUCUCUCCGACGAGUAUUUCCGGACGGAGGGAGUACAAUAUAUUACCUCCGUCCCAAAAUUCUUGUCUUUUUUCUUUGUGAAGUUCAAACCACUCCUGUUUAUAUUCAUAAAAGGCUGCCGGUAUAAUGUUCAGGAUACAUUCAGGUGGCUCAUGUAGCCAAACCUUGCACAGAUUAUUUCCUACACCUACCUUAGCUAAGCCAUGAGUUGCACCGUUUGCUCAUCUCCUUACCCAACUCACCUUCCAUCUUUGGCGUGACUCCAGUAGGUGUUUGACCUCCGCUAUCAGCGUUGACAAGUCCCUGUCCUGGCUUUGAAUUUUUGCAACAACUUGUUUGCAAUCCAUCUCGAUAUGAAAGCUAUCUAUACUCAGUUCCUCCAUAUCUAGAUACAGAUGUAUCUAAAACUAAAACGUGACUAGAUACACCAUAUAUAGUUAGACAAAUCUAAGACAAGAUUUUUGGGAUGGAGCUAGUAUGAUACUAAUACUGAAUAAGGACCUCAGUAGAUACGUGAUGGAAAGGAUGGCUUGGAAGGUUCUAAAGCAAGUACUCUCUCCGUCCCAAAAUUCUUGUCUUAAAUUUGUCUAAAUACGGAUGUAUCAAGCCACAUUUUAGUAUUAGAUACAUUUGUAUCUAGACAAAUCUAAGACAAGAAUUUUAGGACGGAGGGAGAUAUAAAACGGAUCAAUGGUUGGACUACAAGAUGCAGGCAAUGCACAAUGCAAUUGCAGCCUUCCGCAAAUCACUGAAUCAUCUAAAAACAAUCAACGAACUCUUGUUAGGGACAUAUGUCUUUUGAAGAGUAAAACUGUUGCUGCUCAUUCGAAAAAGCGCUACUUGAAAUGAAUUGCCAUGUUACAUCAGAGCCUUUAUCUUCUUUCUUUACGUACAAAAUUUCAAACAGGGCUCUGUGGCGUUGCAUCAUGCGCUAUGCUGAAACUGAAACUUGGACCACCUCUUCUAUCAAACAGGAGGAAGCAUAAAUUUAUCUCCCUGUGAUAACCUUGUCCAAUGUGGGCAAGAGUAGCGCUUCAUCCUUUUCCAAAUUAUACUAUAUAUAAAGGCCGAGCUGGCAUUCCAAGACUCGCCAUACUUCUGAUGACUUCACGACCGGAUGUGCCUAAUAAUAAAAGAAAGGAAUUAGGGUCCAGCAACUGCCUCCUUUGCUGCUUUCAACUGGGAAUCUUUACUGAAUAAAACGCUCGAGUAUGAUACCAACAAUGCACACCCGAGGUCAGAUAGUCAGAGCAUCGGGUUGAUAUACAGAACAAACCCCUGCCGCAUCUAUUUAGAAAACCACCAUUGGUAAGAGAUGAGUGCCCCUUGUAGCUUGAGUGGUAUCAAGGACUGUAACCAAAGUAUAACAUGUGUCAGAAGCAACCCUCAGAGACAGUGGCCAGGCAAAUAAGGGUUAAAGUGAUACCACUCAUAUGCCAACCGGCAGUAAGAAACUACCACCUCCAUCUCAUAAUAUAAGACGCUUUUGCAAACUAAAACAGCUUGCAAAAACGUCUUAUAUUAUGGGGCAAAGGGUGUUUAACAGUUGUUUCUUCUUUAGGCAGGCCCAUUUUGCAGUUGUACCUGAUUUGGCAGCCUCAGAGUAUGCUCUGCACAGCUCAUUGGUUUCAUGGAGAAAAACAGGUGCCCUUACUGGCAUGUGCUGCCGCUUCAUUGAUUUUCUGUCAAAAGAUAUCUGUCAGAGAGCAUAGGCCAUGACAUAUGGUUCUGCCAUGUGAGUUUGAGAAGAGCAUCUACAGUCAGGAAGAUUCAAAAAUAAAUUUAUCCCAGUUUGAAGGAUGCAUGUACUAGUCAAGACUAUGAAACUCUUAGUUUGGGGACGCAUUUCCGGUAUAUUCACAAAAAACAACCAAUUUUAAGUAGCCAGCAAACGUGUAAGUAAUUUGAAUCUAGGUAGGUACCAGUGCCAUCAGGUGAAAGCUCGCACCUUUACUGUCAUAAGCAUAACAUCUUUCAUGAGAGGGAGGAUAACUUAGGAAGGUAACAUACAUAAAGGCAACCAAAGUGAAUGUAACAGCAAAUGGAAGUUAUUUCUUUCUCAGAAAAAAUAGCUCUUGCCACGCAACCUGCAAAUUUAAAAAGCUAGUGCAACCAUUCAAGAACAUAUGGAGGUUACUUGCCUACUAGUCUGAUUUCCAUUAGAGUUAGAAACUCUGAAAUAAAAUGGCCACGAGUACACACCAGAUCUACGGUAAAGCACAAUAGGAAGGAGCAUGAUAGAGAUAUUUAAGUUCAAUGAAAUUAUCUGCAGUUCAAUAAAUAAAACCAAAACAAUCACUUGUACGUCACGACAAGCAGCACAAACCUGUUUGACAACACCCAUUGUUGCAGAAUCAACAGAAAAUAAUGUAUCCGAUUGCCCCAUGAUGACAUGCUUAUGGAGCAACUGCUAAUGCAAAUUUGCAAAGAAUUGAUCGAUGUAGGAAAAAGUAAUGAUUUUGUAAAAAACUAACAAGUAACAAGAGAAAAGAAAAUAUAUGGGUGUCAAGUGCCCGCAUUUACACAGAUAAAAAAUUAUGAAAAUAAAUAUACAUAUACAAGUUAUAUAAAUAUAUGAAUGGUAUUAAUUUUUUGUGUGCCCAAAUUUCUCAUUUGUAACCCAUAUACAAAAAUAACAUAAGGAUACCAAACACUAUCACUAUCCUAAUAACUAUGUGCAUACCAAUUUCUCUUUUUUGUAUAUACUACAAAUGGAUAUUUUUUACCCAAAAAUUCAAAACUACUCACACAUUUACAUAAUCUAGAUACAUGUAUAAUUCUUUUCAUAAUUUUUGGAAGUGUAAACAAGAGUUUUUAUCAACGGGUUCAUGGGGUCCAUGUGCACAAAACCAGCACUCAACAACACUUCCAAAAAUAUACUACCUUAAAAAACAUUCUUUUCGAUAAGUAUUCUUUAAAAAAUGUUUGGCCUCUUGAUCAACUCGCUUGGGUGACAGCGAGAGACUCUAGAACCCCGCACAAGACGUGUUCACCAUUGGCGAUCGUCACACGCCUCAUUAAUGAAGUUGUGGAUGCUGCCGGAGUCUAACAAGGAAAUGAGUUUGCACUCUCUGACGGUGAGGAGGGACACUGGAAGCUGACCAGCGGUUGGGUAUUCAUCCCUAAAGUCAUCCUCAUCAGCGACCUCGAUGUAGAAGAGGUACGGGCAGUGAUGCCUGUGAGUUGGUUGGGCUGGGCCAACAACCUGGGACAUGACCGAUGCCAAGUGCUCAUAGGAGACUGUCCCGUCCAUUGCAUCCUCGAGUGUGGCUGGCUUGAGCAACUCAACCUGCAUUUUGAGAGGUUCCACAAUACCGUUGGUGUAGAUAUUGCGCCCUUCAUCAUUGGGGAUGUACUUGACGUGCGUGAGGAGCUCAAGCAAGUGUUUGGUGUAGUCAGCCACCAUGUCAGUACGGCAAAGGGAGAUGAGUUCUCUAAAGGGAUUGGCACACGAGGGCAGGGGAUGAGAAAUUGAGAUUAUUCUAGCUUGCCUUUAUUGAUCAACUAGGGAUAUAUAUCCCAGUUACAACUUGGUGGCUAAGAAAGGAUAAGAAUACAAACUCCUAACAGAUUUGGAGAUAGUGGGGAAAACCUUAUACGGAACAAAAAAAGCAUUUCCAAAUCCAAAUCCCCUUUCCUAACGGCUGUUGGUACAUUCUCCUACUGCAGUUGCCUUGGGUCUCCAACGCUAGUAAGUGAGCUCCCACCUAACAAGAUCAUGAAGGUUCCAUCAUCCAUGGGUUCUUUAUCUUAGUGUUGGUGGGCGGUGAUUGUCCAGUGUCAACAAGGUGACAUCAAAAGCAAGGAAACAUGAAUGCAGAUCACCCGGAGCAAACAUGCAUUACAAGCAUUUGUGAUGAUCAUUCUAUGCAAACAUGAAUUAUAAUGGGUGAAAAUCGACAUAAUAAUAAAAAGAAAAUAAAUUUUCCACAUCUUAUAAUGUACUCUUACAGCUAACUUGGCGGGAAGAUCCAUGUUGACCAGCAGGAAUCGAUGCUUCUCUCUACCGGGAGGCAUUUAGUUUGGGAUUUUACGCUGAACACCUCACCCGUAUCGAUAAAAUACAUAGCAUCCUCCUCUAUCCCUCCAAAUGCAGAAACAGACUUGCUGAAGCGUUUACUGAUGAAAAGUGCCUGGUCACCUAGCCCAGUUGACACCGGCAACCAGGCGCGUUCACUUAAAUCUGCCUCGAAAACCUCCAGCUUACGAGUAAAUUUGCUAUAACAACAUUUAGGCCAUUGCAAUUGCCGCUUCACCAUGAUUAGCUUUCCACACGACUCAAGCAAGUACUAAAAUGUGGCGAGGUUAUCGUUGGGUGCGUAAGGCAACUCGUCACAGAGGAUGCCAUCAAUGAUCAUGUUGUCUCCAGUCCUCAAGUCAUACAAGUUGCGCUGGUGCCGCCCCUUUUUGUGCUCAUUAUGGUCUUGGGCCUCAUCUACGUCGCUCUCAACAUUGGGAUCAGCAUCACCUGAUCUGAUGUGGUGCUUGAUAUUGGUAACCAUGGGUACGCCAUUGGCACUAAAGCUUAUAUUGAAGGAGAAGAGGUCCUCCGCCAUGGAGAUCCCGCAGAGUCUGUUUCCAACGAGCACGAUGUCAAUGAUGUCAACGAAGGGGGUUGUUUGUGGCCUUGGUAGCCACACACCCUUCCCCGGCCGGAUUAAGAUGAUUGGAUAAUUCCAGUUGUUGGUCAUGAUAACGACGAGCUGGUCAUCAGGGGGCGACCGAAUGAGCACCUUGCGGAUCUGAAAUAACUUGGAACUAUUACCAACGAUGGCAUCCAGCUCUGGUAGCGACACAACUUCUUUAGAGAAAGGAUUGUGCAAGAAGUAGGUAUGAAUUUUUCUCUGAUCGUGAGUGCAAUCGAGGGCUGUGUUUUGAUUUUCGGUUUGAGCUUUUUUUCGCCCUAGGCCGAGAUGGCCGAAUUUCGGCCAUUUUCAAAAAUUUCGGCUGAAAUUUGACCAAAUUUUGACUGUAGUUUGACUUAAAUUUGACCAAAAUUUGCUAAAUUUGAGCAAUUUCGGCCUAAAUAUACUUUUCGCCUCCGGCCGAGAUGGCCGAAAUUCGGCCGAAAUACACAUUUUGCGGCCGAAAAUCAAAACACACUCGAGGGCGAGCCAGCUAUCCGUGGAGCCAAUGCACCGCAAGUUGUCGGGGAAGGAGGGGUUGCUAUUCCGGCGUCUGAACGCGAUGCACUCCUGGUCGUCAUCGGCGGACCUAGGAGGAGAAUCAUCCGGUGCACAUCAGAUGGAAAUUUUACAUAUUUAAGCUGGAAUUAGCCAUGGAGAUGGGAAAAAUUACCGGUUUCGUCAGCACCCUCCAGGGUGAGUGCGGGCGCGCCCGUGCUUAUUGUAGAAGCCGCCAUGUAGCGCAAUCCAAGGUGUCCGCCGCUGCGGCGAACGGCGGCACACCGCGUGGAUCCAAUUCCAUGGCCGCCGCGGCGGAGGCGGGGAGAAAACUGAUUGCCAGGAAAGAAUUACCGCUUGCAUCCACGGCACCUGCGGCGGCGGAGAGGGAGCCGAUGAGCGCCAGGAACGGCACACCGCUUGGAAGCGGGCGCGAUCUGCCAGGUUAGGGAGGCCGGCCAUCACGAGACCAAGGAUCUCCUGUGGGAGCUCCGACCACGGCGAAGAAGAUGGCUGGGAAGCAACGGAGUGCCAGCUGGAACAGCACGCCCCAUGGAGUACGGCGGCGAAGAGACCCAAGAGGUCGUCGGACUCGGACCACGGCGGCGGCGAUGCCAUUGGUGCUGCUGUUUUUUUUUCGAGGAGUUUUUUUUUUUGAGGAUAGAAAAUAUCUGGAUUGUGAUUGGGGCUGUUCAUUUACAUGGACUUAUUGGCGUAGGGAAUUUAAAGUUUCUUUUAGUCCUAUCUAAACUAAACAGAAGGGACUUAGGGAUUUUUUCUUUGAGGGAAAAGCCAUCAUGGCGGUUUAUAUUUCAUGUGAAAACAACGGUACAUCGUUUGCCAAUACAUCUAGCAGAAAGGGAUUUAAAGUAGGCAUUUGGUACUUAUAAAAGAAGACCCCAAGGAAAAGUCUUUUUGAGAUUUUUAGUUGUAAUAUAGUGUUUUAGUCAAUGUUUAGUCCCAGAAACCAAACAAGUAGGGACUUUUUAGGGACUAGCGACUUUUUAGUUGGGAUUAAAAAAAGUCCUACGACUUAUGAACCAAACAGGGCCCUAGAUGAGAAAAACAUGGGGCCCAUCUAGGAGGGAGGCUGCCUCUCCAAUUGUAUAAACGUCCCUGUUAAAACACAAAAAUAACAAAGCUGUACGACUAACUCCCUACACAAAGUGGUACACCAAGGGGACCCGCAUCUAACCCUUGCCGACGCAGAGGGUCUCUAGUCCCCCCCCCCCCCACUUUAUGACCCACAAUUAUAGGGGAUCUAUCAUAGUCCUUUCGAUAAGUAAGAGUGUCGAACCCAACGAGGAGCAGAAGUAAAUGACAAGCGGUUUUCAGCAAGGUAUUUUCUGCAAGCACUGAAAUCAUCGGUAAAAGAUAGUUUUGCGAUAAAAUAAUUCGUAACGGGUAACUGUCGUUGCCAACACCCGUGAUGAAUCAGAGAUCGAGCGAGCUGUGAACACGAACAAGCGAGAGAGUUUUUGUGCCGCUGUCAACCGCGCAGCUUUUCUGUUUUCUCAUUCCACGCUUUAUCUGUUGCAACAACCUAGCUAGCUACCUCCCGGCGAGCGCGCUAUGAUCCGCAAUGGCCGCGCCAUCCCGCAGCCACGACUCACAGCGCAUGCGCCCACCAGGAGAAGAAAACGGGAGAGGGAGAAGUGGUCAGUGCAUGCUACGGCACUUGAGCCACCACCUAGCUACGUGCAUGUCUGGGUCAUAUCAUCCCGCAUGCACACAUUAUUACAAACAGAAAAACAGAACUACGUUGCAAGCAUGAGAUUAGUCUAAGCCUAACAUUUCACCCCCCCUAAUCUCACUGCUCCAAACUGAUCACUCCAAGCCUCUGUCUCAUCUCAAUGAAAUGAACUCGACCGAGUGCUUUUGUUAGAGCAUCAGCCAGUUGAUCUUGCGUGCCCACAUGAUCGAUCUCCACUUGCUCCUUUUCCAUGCAAUCUCUCACAAAAUGGAACUUCACGUCAAUGUGUUUGCUUCGAUCAUGAUGCACUGGAUUUUUGCUUAAAGCUAUGGCAGAUUUGUUGUCCACCUGGAGCCUGAACCUUGCAGGGGCAGCUCCGGUUAUGUCUCCCAACAACCUGCUCAACCAUAGCCCUUGACAGGUUGCUGCUGCAAUGGCCACGUACUCAGCCUCACAUGAAAAAAGUGCAACUAUCUUCUGCUUCUGAGAGCUCCAAGUGAUCAGGUUCUUGCCCAGAUAGAAAACAUGCCCGGAAGUGCUCUUGCGAUCGCCGACAUCACCGGCGUGAUCGCUGUCACUGAACCCGAGCAGUUUGGCCACACCUUGACCUCUCCUGUAGCUGCAUCCAUAGUGCUUGGUGCCCUUCACAUACCUCAAUAUCUGCUUGACGGCAGCCCAGUGAUGUGUGCUAGGCUUCUCCAUGAACUGGCUGACGAUCCCGACAGAAUGUGCUAUAUCAGGUCGGGUGUUCACUAGAUACCGUAGGCUUCCAAUCACCCUGCGAUACAGAGUGGCAUCGAAGGGCUCACCGUCGUCCUCUUUCUUCAGCUUGAGGCGACACUCCAUGGGCGUGUGGCAGCUGUUGCAGCCCUCCAUAUUUGCAAUCUCCAAUAUCUUCUCAGCAUAGCUUUUCUGACGGAGUGUGAUGCCGCUGCUGUUCUGCUCCACUUCUAUGCCCAGGUAGUAGCUCAGCUUGCCCAGAUCACUCAUCUUGAAAAGUUGCUGCAUCUGCUCCUUGAACGAGGCUAUGUCCGCUGCAUCAGUGCCAGCGAUAAUCAGAUCAUCCACAUAGACCCCCACCAGCAGGUACGAGUGAUCAUUUCCGCGUCUGUAGACUGCAUGUUCCAAGGGACUGCGAGUGAACCCAAGAGCUGCCAGAGAUUCAGCUAGUUUUGCAUACCAGGCGCGUGGAGCUUGGUGCAGUCCGUAAAGUGCUUUGUGAAGGCGUAGCACACUCUCAUCCUUGCCAGCAACCUCGUACCCCGGCGGCUGAGCAACAUAAACCUCUUCAGUGAGAUCGCCAUUCAGAAAGGCUGAUUUCACGUCCAUGUGGUGAACUUCCCAGCCGGAGUGUGCAGCCAGGGUCAGAAGAAGUCGUACUGUCUCCAUGCGAGCUACGGGAGCGAAAACCUCCUCAAAAUCCACCCCCUGGCGCUGUACGUACCCUUUUGCCACGAGGCGAGCCUUGUGCUUGACGAUGUUGCCUGCAGGAUCACGCUUAACACGAUAAACCCACUUCAGCCCGAUAGCUUUGUGUCCAGCAGGCAGCUGAGCAAGCUCCCAAGUCUUGUUGUUGAUGAUGGACUGCAUCUCGACGUCCAUGGCGCCCUUCCACGCCUUGCUAGCGAGUGCUUCGUCAACGUCGCGCGGCUCCUCAGCGCUGAAUAGGCAGCGCACAAGGAGGCAGCGCUCAAACUGCUCGCGCCCCGCCUGGUCUUCUGUUUCCUCCAACACGCUCGUGAAACUCCGAUAGCGCACUGGCUGCCCCGUAGGCACAUCGUGCCUAGAGUCAUGGGAUGGAGGUGUGCUCUCGCCACCUGACGAGUCCGUGGGCGUCGAUGGCCCGGACUGCAACGAGUCCGGCGUGCUCACCACUGGCGUGGCGACAGCAGUCGAUUGCGGCGUCCCCAAAGUUGGUGUAGAGGGUGUUGCCGCUGGACGAGGCGUGACCGGCGGGGUGGACGACCCGCUGUCCACCUCCUGGACACCAUUCUCCGUGGUGUAGACCAUAGUGAAGGUGGCUGGCACGGUGGUGACCGCGCUCGUGCCCUGAGCGUUCCAUGUCCAUGGUCUGUUCUCCUCGAAAACAACAUCAUGUGUUACCUGGACCUUCUUGGUUAUUGGGUCGUAUGCUCGGUACGCCUUGGAGCCCUUCUCAUAGCCGACAAACACCAUAGGUGUCGAUCGAUCACUGAGCUUGGUGAUGCCGGUGCUGAUGCGUUUCACGUGAACCGUGCACCCGAACGUGCGCAGGUGCUGCACAUUGGGUUUACGGCCGUGCCACGCCUCAUAGGGCGUGACACCCUCCAGGCUUCUGGUCGGGGCGCGGUUUAGCAGAUACACUGCCGUUCUCACCGCCUCUGCCCAGAAGAACGCCGGCAUCCCCAUGCUCUUCAUCAUGCACCGGGCCAUCUCCACCACCGUCUGGUUCCGACGUUCGACGACGCCAUUUUGCUGUGGCGUGUAUGGCGCGGUGGUGAGAUGCUUGAUGCCGCUUUGCUCGCAGUACUCUCUGAACUUGAUGGAGUUGAAUUCGCCGCCACGGUCUGACCUAAACGCGCGCAGCUUGCAGUUUCCGUCAGCCUCGGCCAUCACUUUGAUUUUCUUGAAGCGUGAGUACGCCUCAUCCUUGGACCUUAGGAGUUCUAACCACAUAUAGCGACUGUGAUCAUCUACCACAAGCAAGAAAUACUUGUUACCUCCCGGAGUCGUUGGAGUGAUUGGCCCGCACAAGUCCGUGUGCACAAGCUCUAGGCUGCGCUCGACUCGGUACGCCAUGGCCUUUGGGAACGGUGCUCGAUGUUGCUUUCCCAGAGCGCAACCGUCACAGUAUUCCGCCACGCGAUCGAUCACUGGCAUGCCGCGCACGAGCUGCUUCGUGGACAUGGUCCAGAGCGCACGGAAAUGAAGAUGCCCCAUGCGAGCAUGCCAUCUCCAUGUUGCAUCGUCCCCCUGCUCCAUCAGACACGCCGGCGCAUCAAUGGUGAGUACUCCGGUGUACAGGCGAUUUCGAGAGCGCUUGCUGCGCGCCAGCACUCGCCGCGCCGGGUCCAGGACGGCCAUGACGCCGUCAGCAAUGUUGAUGAUGCAGCCGACCUCGUCCAGUUGUCCCACAGAGACAGUCUUCGUCCUCAGGCUGGGGAUGUAGAAGACGCCGGUGAGAGCGCGCUGCUCGCUGCCUUGACAGCGAAACACCACACUGCCUCGCCCGUGGAUGGCCACGACCGAGCCGUCGCCGAACCUCACUGAGCCGUGCACCGUCUCGUCAAGUGAAGAGAAAACGUGCUGAUCGCCCGUCAUAUGGCUGCUGGCCCCAGUGUCGAAGAACCACACCCCGUCCGGUGAGGGGACAGGCAUGACCUUCUCCUCGUUGAGGUAAACAUGCUGGGGCGCCGCGAGCUGUAUGUUGACCACUACGGUGACCACAGCCAUGUACAGACCUUGAUCGUGCUUGGCGUCAGCUUGGACAAGAUUCGCCUGUUCUUGCUUGCCUUUCUGCUCCUCAUCCUUGACUCUGGAGUAACACUCCUUCUUCCAGUGGCCCUGCUUGUUGCAAUAGUGGCACUUGCCUUUCUUCUUUCCGCCAGAGCCGUCGGAUCCGCUUGCGCCUGUGCUCGGUGGCAUCGCCUUGCCGCCGCCCUGGAAUUUGUUCUUCCCAGGCGACUUGCUUUUGUUGUUGUUGUUGCCGCCUGACGACCGGCCGCCAGAGCCGAGCUGCCGCUCGCGCGCGUCCCACUCUGCAGAGGUGUACAUGAGGCGCGCGCUAGACUGCGCCGUGUCAUCCAGAUCAUAAUGAUCUUCGCACGCUGACAAACGCCCCGUGAGCUCUUCGAUCGUCAUGGUCUUGAGGUCGAUGAGAGACUCUAUCGCCAUAGCCAUCUGCCGGUACUUGCGCGGCAUGACGCGAAGGAACUUCUGGACAACCUUGUGCUCCAUCACCGGAUCACCGUACACAUCGAGAUUGGCGACGAGGCCAGAGAGCCGCAGCGCGAAAUCCUCAACGGACUCGCCCUCCUUGAAGCGAAGAUCCUCAAAUUCCUGGCGACGCACUUGCGCCUUCGCCUCGCGCGCGCUCACUGCCCAUGCGGAGAGUUUUGAUUGUCUCCCAGGCCUUCUUGGCCGAGUCCUUCGCGGCCAGGACACGGAUCAUCUCCGACGGCACGCCGGUGAGGAUGAUUUGUAGUGCGCGCCGGUCGCCGUGCUCGUCGGCUCCGUCGUUGAUCACCGCGGACCAGACGCGGGCCACCUGAAGCUUGACUUGCAUGACGAGGGACCACUCCAUGUAGUUGGUGCGGGUGAGGACCAUGGAUGAUGUAGAGGUCUCGCUCUCCCGCACUACUCGCUCGACGAUGCGCAGCUCGUCGCUCCCGCCGCCUGUCAGUCGCGCCACGGGCGCCGUGGUCGGUGGCGACUUCGACGGUGAUUUUGUCCCACCCUUGCUCUGCCCUUUCUCAGAAUCGGUGUCUGACAUGGUACGCCCCGGAUCGAUCGACACCGCCGGCCACCGGAGAGUGGAUCGAACACCACGUUGCUCUGAUACCAAUUGUCAUUGCCAACACCCAUGAUGAAUUAGAGAUCGAGCGAGCUGUGAACACGAACAAGCGAGAGAGUUUUUGUGCCGCUGUCAACCGCGCAGCUUUUCUGUUUUCUCAUUCCACGCUUUAUCUGUUGCAACAACCUAGCUAGGUACCUCCCGGCGGGCGCGCUAUGAUCCGCAAUGGCCGCGCCAUCCCGCAGCCAUGACUCACAGCGCAUGCGCCCACCAGGAGAAGAAAACGGGAGAGGGAGAAGUGGUCAGUGCAUGCUACGGCACUUGAGCCACCACCUAGCUACGUGCAUGUCUAGGUCAUAUCAUCCCGCAUGCACACAUUAUUACAAACAGAAAAACAAAACUACGUUGCAAGCAUGAGAUUAGUCUAAGCCUAACAGUAACAAGUAACAAGUGUAACAAAGGUGCGGCAAGGUGGCCCAAUCCUUUUUGUAGCAAAGGAUAAGCCUGGACGAACACUUAUAUAAAGCAAAACGCUCCCGAGGACACAUGUUGUCGUGGAAUUGUCACGGCAGAUGUCCUAGCACGAGGACUUAGGUGUGGAGCCAUCACAACGUAGUUAGCUUGAAGGGAUUAAACGGGACAAAGGACACAGAGAGUUUUACCCAGGUUCGGCCCCUCGCAACGAGGUAAAGGCCUACUCCUGCUUUAGGUUGUAUUGCUUGGGUUUCGAUUACCAGGGAGCGAAUACGCUUGACCUAGUUCUCGACUUGUUGUUUCUUGCCCUAACCCGCCGCCGGGUCACCCCUUUAUAUACACAAGCUGAUGCCCGGCGGCUUACAGAGUCCCGGCCGGCUCAUACACAACGUGUCCGGCUUGGUGACAGAACUAAACUUUCCUUAACAUACAAGUUAAACAUAUGGCGGUUUAUGCCCGUGGGCCUCAAGUCUCCUCCGGGUCUUAGGCCUUCAGUAAGCUUGCUUCAUGAACCACCAUCUUCAACAUCUUCUUGGGCCUUCUCAUUAUGAACCACCAGUGCUAUGACCCGGCCCCUCCUGGGCGGGUCAUACCCAAUAGUUAUAUCUCCAAUAUUAGGCCCCAGGUUGAUGUGAACUUGUUCAUAUCAAUCUUCAAUACUUGACUUAGAGAAAUCCUUCACCGUCAGUCCUUAUGAAAUCUUAUAAACCGCCAUGAUCUCAGCUCUCCGAAUUGUGCUAACCCGCCAUGACGUCAUCUCACAUUAAUAUCGCAUGAGGCCCAAAUCUCAAUAUACCUUCACUUUUAAUGAACCUCUGAAAAUCGAGGCAUCUGUGCUGUCACACAAUCAUUUUUCAGCCUCCUCGAUUCCCGUGCAUGCCAUCUAUCCACUGCCUUAUAAAUAGGGACAUGGGGCCCCUGUUUUCAUUUUUACCCCGUGCCACUGCCUCUUCUUCUUCCUUCCUCUGGACGCCAACGCACCCGAGCUCCGCCGCCGUCGACCUCGCGCAUUGCAUCAACCCAGGCCGCUGCAUCAACUUGAACGCACAAGAAACACCGCCGCGCGCCUUCGCUGUUCAAUAGCCCCGGUAAGCUCUUCUCUUUACUCACCAUAGAUCUCCAUUAGGGUUUGCUUGAGUUCUUCGGAGUUCAUCUCCGUUCCUCUUUGUUCGUCCCUAUCUCUUGUAGUUUUUGAUCGGAGCAUAGUACCCAUCUUGCGCGGUAUCAGUUUAGCACCCGUUUCUGAUAUUUGAAUGCCUCCCCUCCAUAGGGGAUCUCAUCUGAGCACGUGAACUGUUUUGCUGCCGCCACUUAGGUUUAUAAUUUUUCUUCAUUAUCUGAACUGUUGUAGAUCCAAAAUUAUAGCACCGAUAUGUGAAAACUGUUUGUCCAACACUUAGCAAUUCUUCACUCAUAGAUCUGAAAAUUGAUAGUUGUGUGGGCGGCUUAACUGAUAAACCAUAACCCGCCAGGUAUCAUUAGUCCCCUCUUAAGCCGCCAGUAGAUUGCUCUGCAUAUCUCAACACUAACCUCCGGCUUAACACACUGCAUGUUUAUAGUUCUUACCUUUGAACCAAUGACCGGCUUAACAACAUGAUCUUAAACCGGCAAUAUUUUUCUUUUCAGACCUUCAUCAACAAUGACUAAGAACUUCACCUCAUGCAAUUGGGUAGCGUCACGGGUUACCGAGGAAGAUCUGAACAAUUUUGUUCAGACUGGCGUCUCAGCCAAAAAGGAUGACAUCCACUAGAGGGUCCCAGGCUCUGAAAAUCCUCCUAAGCCCAAAGAAGGAGAAGUAAUCAUUUUCACUGAUCAUAUGAUCCGGGGGUUUAGUCCGCCUGGUUCAAAAUUCUUUUGAGACGUGCUACACUUUUUCCAGCUUCAUCCUCAAGAUAUCAGACCUAAUUUUGUCUCCAACAUCUGCAACUUCCAAGUUUUUUGCAAAGCUUAUCUUCAAGAAGAGCCCACUAUCGAACUGUUCAGGAAAUUUUAUUACUUGAACCGGCACACGGGGUUCACUGACGGGCCCAACUUGGAACUAGGCGGAGUUUCAACUCAGAAGCGGAAAGAAGCCACCUUCCCAUAUGCCAAGACACCCAGUCAUCCCAAGGACUGGAACUAGACUUGGUUCUAUUGCCAAGAUACAUCUCCAGAGGGUGAAAAUCCCCUGCCGGGUUACCGUGAACACCGACUCAGCAACACACAUCGGAACCCAGAGUGGAUCAGUACAAAGGAGUGGGCCAAAUAUGCGCCCAUUUUCUCAAAAAUCAGAGCCUUCAUGGCUAACGGCUUAACCGACAUCGACCUUGUUCGGUGCUGGGUCGCCUGGAGGAUUCUGCCCUUAAGCCGCCACCCGGCUUAAUGUGCGAGUACACCGGCGAUUUGAAAGAUCCACAAUGCCAUUGCAAAAUCCAACUAACUGACGCAUAAAUCAAUGAUGCGACCAAGGCUUUGCUGAAUGAAAGCUUGGCAGAGUGCAGUAAAACCAGACUUAGUCCUUUCUCCACCUUCAACCAGCCGCCAGUUGUAAAUUUUGCACAUAUUUUUUCAGUUGAAUCAUGCUUUCAUUAACACUAUCCUCUUAUAACCAUCUGACUUCCACAUGCCGAUUCUCCUUUUUGGAAGAAGAAGCUGCAGGACAAGCUGACCAAGAAGACCCGUACCAAGACCAAGGUUAACAAAAAGCUUGCCAAUAAGAAGACCCCUCCGAGUUACUUGACUUGGACGAUGAUGGUGAUGAUGAUGAGUUGGAGGUAGAACUUGAUUCUCUUGGCUCAUUUUUUGUACAUCUCAUUGACAAUGACUAUUAUCAGGAUGAAGCAGAAGCCAACCGUGCGGGUGACGAAGAGGUAAUUGUUCUUUCCUCCGGCUCAGAAUCUCUGCCAAAACAGAAAAACUCGACAAGCAAGCCAGAAAGUAAGGUUAUCUCAUCCUUUGGCUUAUCUGGAUCCCAACUUUAUUUUGAAGAAGCAGCAACAUGAAGCUCGCCGCACAACCCGGAAUAGCGGAGGCGGGAUCCUUUCCUCCGGCUUACCAAAUACUCCAGCUCCCCGCAAGUGUCGUCCAGAGGUUUCAACAAUUCCCGACUUAACUUAUCCCAAGACGUGUCUUUUUCGAAAACCUCUUAAUCCUUCUGACUCAAAUUACCAGGGAACAUCUCAAUCCUCCUCUGGCGACUCAACGAGGACUCAUGUCCCAGUCUUCAAGACUGUGCCUGGGUAAGAAUGUUAAAUCUCUGCUUUCAAUCAUGUACUCAAUUGUUGUGUUAACCCCGUCUUGUGUUUCAUUCAUAGAGCUAUGGCACAGCCCAACAAGAAAAUGAAGGUGACAAAAACAACUGACAACCCUUCUGAACCGGAGAAGCAUUCAACAUACACUUCCUUCCACGCCCCUAAAGCCACACUAGUAGAAAAUGGGCCAUUUGUACCGGUUCGUAAGGCCCAUCUGUCCCGGUUUUGGAUCCGAGACUAAAGAGUCGUCACUAAAGCCCUUGCCCUUUAGUCCCGGUUCUUGCAUGAACUAGGACAGAUGGGCCUCCACGUGGCCGCUGCGGCGAGCCCAGGCAGGAGGGCCUUUGGUCCCGGUUGGUGGCACCAACCGGGACCAAAAGGCAUCCAGGCGUCAGCAGCUGGCAGGAGCUGAGUUGUUUUUGGAAAGGGGGUGGUCUAGGGGUUUUGGGGGUUAAUUUAGGUUGUUAAUUAGCUAGCUAAUAGAGAGAAGUGUUCUCUCUUAUCUCCGUGCUUGGUUUACCAACACUACUGCUAUGCCUAAACAUGGCUUAGAUUGAAGUGAAGGCAACAUGUGGUGCAUGUCGAAAGUAAUACUAAUCCUAACUUGAUCAUGUUUGGAUUGUACUACUUUAGACAUGCACCACAUGCAUGUUGCCUUCACUUCAAUCCAAUCCAUGUUCAUUUCACCCACUGAUAUAUAAUAACUCUUCAUGCUCGCAUCAUGCAUCAUCAUAAUAACAAUUCCUACUAAUCAUCAUCAUAAUCCUCAUAGUCAUCGAACCAACCCUACUUAAUUGUUCUUAGCACAUGAUCAUCAUUAUUAGGUAGGACCUAAAUACCCUCUUUAAGGUAAAAUAGCAUAAAACAAUAUAGACUCUAACUCUCCAUUAUGGAGAAUGGAGAUCAUCCUGUCUCCAAUUCUUGUGCUUCGCUUCCUUUUGCUUCCAAGAGCCUCCUUACCACUAGUAGAAAAGGGGGCAAUGGUCCAGGCCAGGUCAGCCCAUUAGUCCCGGUUCAAUCCAGAACCGGGACCCAUGGGGGCAUUGGACUCGGUUCGUGAGCCCGGGUGAAAGUGCAAUCAUGCCCUUAAUCAUAUUUUGAUGUUGAUGACAACACAUAUGCUCGGGACUAAUCAUGUUUAUCAAGUAUAUCUCAGGAUUAUGUUUCAAAGACCGUGUGCAUGGAUCAUGACUAGGGACAAAAAUCAUAUAACUCAAGAAUGGAGAUACAAGAUGUUGAGUUCAUUUAUGGUUUCUUCUUGAGUAUAGGGAUCCCACACUAUUAAGAGGGGAUCGAUGGAUCUAGUGAAAAACUUGCUCAAAAGCCACUUUUUCUAUACCUUGCCUUCGGACGUCUGGUGUUCUACGGACGUCCGGUUCCUCUUGAUUGCCCGGACGUCCGGCCACUUCCGGUCGUCCGGCGUUCCACAACAGAAGCAUUUCUACGGAUGUCCGGAACUCUCCGGACGUCCGACACUUUCACAACAGAAGCAUUUUUACGGACGUCUGGACUCUCCGGUCGUCCGUGCUCCGGAUGUCCGGCCCAGCUCGGACGUCCAUAUCCUGUACACUGGAUUGUGGCUCACAUUCUCACAGCGGUCGGUCGUCCAAUGACUGUCGGAUGUCCGGACCUAUUUGUCCCUUCGGACGUCCGAUGUUCUCCGGACGUCCGACCCAUCCUGUACCCCAAACGGUCACUUGUACUCACCACCUAUAUAUAUACCUCUCCCUUCCACGGGAUAAGGUUGACCAUUCACUUUGAGCCUAUCAAGAACACUCCUCACUCUCUCUCUCAUUCAUCCACACCAAAUCCUAGAUUCCCAAGUGUUCUAGGAGCAUUUGAGAGAAGUUCUCCAAUCAAGUGAUAGAUCCACUCCUUCCCCUUCUUUGCACCAAAGGAAUUCGUGAUUUGAGCAAGUUUUGAGCUUUCCCCCAUCGUUCUUGUUACUCUUGGAGGUUGGAGACUCCUAGGCGGUAGGAGUCAUGCGGAGAGGAAUCGAACUUUGUGAUUACCCUCGGAAAAGUUUGUGAGGGUUUGGAGACCACCCCAAGGUCUACCACUAGUGGUUGAUAAACGCCUCUGUGGUGUUGUCUCAAAGGGAGAAUAGGGUGAGCCUUCGUGGCGUUGGUGUGCCUUCGUGGUAACAUCCACCUCUCUAACGGUGACUAGCUUCCCUCCAAGGAAGUGAACAUCGGCAUACAUCCUCGUCUCCCGGAGUUGCGGUUAUUCCUAACCCUAACUCUCUACUUGUGGUUACUUGUCUCUUUACACUUACGUACAUUAUAUUGUGCUUGCCUACUUACGUGUUUGUGUUGUUUGCUUAGUACUUUGUGCUCACGUGCAAUUGUUAGGCUCAUCUUCAUAUUCUGCAUUAUUGCCUAAAAUUGCCAAGUAAUAAUUAAAAUUUGUAAUUGUACCUAUUCACCCCCCUCUAGGUCCAUCUCGAUCCUUUCAAUUGGUAUCGGAGCCUCAUGCUCUAUUCUUGUGGUUUAACCGCCCUAGAGCGAGAUGAACCCAGAUGGGACUCCCCUGGUUGUAGAUCCUAAGGAUAAAGGCGAGGUUUCUUAUGAAGUCAAGUCCUUUACGUCUCAGGAUCUAGAAUGGGCCCUUGCUAAGCAAAAAGAGGAGCAUGAUGCUUCUCUUGAGGCCUUGGUCCAACUGAGAUUAGCCACGUUGUUCGUGGUGCUUCCACCACACUCAAGUGGUGUGGGUUCGAGGUCAAACGUGCCUACAUCAUCACUUGGUCAACAACCUCCUAGCAAUGAACACGCCAGUGUUCCUUGGCUUUAUGCAAGACCUCAGGUUGAGAAACCAAGAUAUAAUCCUCAAGGAAAACCUCCUUUACUUAGUGCUACUUCCGAUUUUGCUUUGUGGAGAGUUGCUAUGCUGGAUCAUCUUCGACAUGGAAACGAUGAGAUGCUGGAGAUUAUAGAGUAUGGCUAUCAUGUGGUUGAUCCAAAGAACCCCACACCAAGAGAAAUAUAUGACAAGAACCUCAAUGACACGACAAUCAUGUGUAUAAGGAGAGGUAUGGAUGAAAAGCAAAGGAGACCGUUCAUACACAUCAGAUGUGCCAAGGAACUAUGGGAAAGUAUUAUACGAUCCAGGACUGGCACCUCUACCCUCCGGAGUGCUCAAUAUGAAAUUGCCAAGGGGCAAUUGCAAAACUUUUGUAUGGAAAAAGGUGAAACCCCCAAUCAACUCCUUGAGCGUCUCACGACUCUCACUGCAGAUAUUGAGUCAUGUGAGUGUGACAAGACACAAGAUGGAUUCAACAUGACUAAGAGGUUUCUUGUGGAUAAGUUGCUUCAUGCUCUUGCUCCAUAUCAUCCUCAAAUGGUGUGCGACAUACGACAACACCAUACCUUCAAGGAAAUGACUACAGAUGACAUCAUAUCCACCUUCCAACUAUUUGAAGAGUCAAAGGCUAAUGCCACAAAACAUCUUGCCAUGCAUGGUUCCCUAUCAUCAAAGAUCAAUCUUGCAUUGAAGGCCAAGCAAGUAUAUGAAGAUGAGCAAAGUGAAGAAGAAGAAGAUGAUGAUGAUGAUGAAGAUGGUAAUGAGAUUGAAUCGGACGAGGGCCCUUCGUAAGAAGACAUGGCUCUUUUUGUCAAGAAGUUUAGCGCAGGAAAAUUCAAGGGAAGAUUUCAAAAGAAGAAAGUAAGAAAAUGCUACAACUGUGAAGAAACCAAUCACUUCUCCAACGAGUGCCCUUAUGAGAAGAGAGAAGAUAAACCAAGGUUUCCCAAGAAGAAGUUGCCAAAUCCUUUGAACUCCAAGCUCAAGAAGAGAGAUGGAAAGGCAAUGGUUGCUCAAGAAGAAUCUGAUCCGGAUGAUGUUAGUGGUGUUGCCGGAGUUGCUCAAGACUCUCAAAACACGUUGAGGUUAGUAAACAAGAGUGGUGACGUGGUCACCUAAAACUACAUGAAAGAUUACAAGGGCAACGCUCACAAGUGCCUAAUGGCAAAGGCCAUGGUUGAAGAAGGAGAGGACCAAAGCUCUUCUGACAAAGUCAAGGUAACUCCACGAUCAAAUCCUCCUCUUUUCACACCUUCUACUCCUAGUGAUGAGUAUCUUGAUGCGGGAGGAUAGCUAUGAGGAUGAUGAUCUAGAUGAUCCUAUGAUUGCUAAACUUAAUAAGUUCAUGUGCUCCCUCAAAGGAAAGAAACUCACUAUGUUUCGUAUGCUUAUGGAGAUGGUGAGUAAGCACACCAUCACCAUUAAGGAACUCGAAACCCUCGUCACCGAGGAAAAGGAAAAGUGUGAAAUCCUUGAGCGGAAAGUCCAAUAUGAGGAUGCACGAAAUGAUGAACUAUGCUUAAAAAUUGGUGCAAAUAUUGAUGUUCACACUAAUGAUCUUGCCUCCUUGAAAAAGGCUAUUGACUCUUGCGAAGAGUUAACGAAUGAUAAAAGUAAGCUUGUGAAAUCUCAUACUUCUCUAUCUAAGGAUUGUGAGCUUCUAUCCGUGUCUCUCAAGACUAAGGAAGGAGAGCUCACUGUUCUUAGAAACAGUUUUGAGACGCUCAAUCUUACUUAUCUUGAAACUCUAGCCAAGGCUUACUCUUCCCCUAUUAUAAAUGUUGAUGCUUGUACUACUAACUCUAGUAGUGAUCUAGCAUCUAUUCUUGAGGAAAAUUGUUUUCUCAAGGCUCAAAUUGAGAAAGGUCUCAUGACAUGUGCUCAAGGGCAAAAGAAUCUUGAUGAGAUUUUGAGCCAACACAAUGAGGUGUUUGCCAAAGAGGGACUUGGGUUUGACCCGAGCACAAGCAAGAAGAAGACAUCCUCUCAAAAGUGCACAACUCCUCUAAAAGAAACAUUUGUAAGAGAAGGGCACAAGGAGAAAGGUAAGGUUGUGAGUGGGAAGGCCACAAGGGGCAUGCCCACUCUCAACAAGCCAAAAGAGUUCAUGCCUCCAUCCUAUGUACUUCAUAAGACUAAGGAUGGAGAAGUUUAUGCAAAGUUUGUUGGUCCUCGAAAUGCAUUUCGGUUUUAUGCUAUUUGGGUCCCUAGACCCUUGUGACUAACUUGAGAGGUCCCAUUGCAAAAUGGGUGCCUCUAACCAAGUAAUAAUUGUGUGUAGGUUGCCUUCUCCGGUGGAGUAAAAUGGGUGAUUGAUAGUGGAUGUACCAAUCAUAUGACCGGAGAUAGCAAAUUGCUCUACGACUUCAUGGAAGCUAUUCAACCAUUUAUGAGCAUCAUGUUUGGUGGAGGAUCAAAAGGAAAAGUACUUGGGUUGGGCAAGGUGGCUAUCACCAAUGACAUGUCUCUUGCAAAUGUCAUGCUUGUCCAAUCUCUUAAAUACCACUUGCUUUCUGUUCGCCAAUUGGCUUCUGUUGGUUACGAUACACUCUUUGGACUAACGGAUGUGAAAGUCUUUAAGAGAGAUACUCUCGAAGUGGCUUUUGUUGGAGAGUUGGAUGGCAACCUUUACACGGUUGAUUUCUCGAAAUAGAGCACAUUCCAUGCAACUUGUCUAAUGGCCAAGGCUGACAAGGGGUGGCUAUGGCAUCGCCGGCUAGCCCAUGUCGGCAUGAGAAAUCUUCAAGAUCUCUUAAAGGGGAAUCACAUCCUUGGACUAACCAAUGUCUCUUUUGAGAAAGAUCGUGUGUGUAGUGCAUGCAUAGCCGGGAAGCAACAUCAAUCAAAGCACCCACCCAAGAACAUAGUAUCUACUUCAAGGCCCUUGGAGCUCCUUCAUGUGGAUCUUUUUGGGCCUCCUUCAUGGGAUAGUCUUGGUGGGAAAAAGUAUGGGCUUGUCAUUGUUGAUGAUUACUCAAGAUAUACAUGGGUGUUCUUCCUCAAGUCCAAGGACGAAAAGAAGAUCACCUUCAUUGAUUUUGCCAAGCAAGCCCAACGCAAGUUUGGCAAAGAAAUCCGGGCAAUAAGAAGUGACAAUGGCUCUGAGUUCAAGAACUAUACCUUGGAAGAAUUUCUUAGUGAUGAAGGGAUUGAGCAUCAAUACUCAGCUCCAUAUACUCCUCAGCAAAAUGGUGUAGCCGAAAGGAAGAACCGUACACUUGUAGAGAUGGCAAGGUCCAUGUUGGAUGAAUACAAGUCACCACAUAGUUUUUGGGCCGAAGCUGUCAAUACCGCAUGCCAUGCAUCAAACUGGCUCUUCCUCCGCACUAUAUUGGAAAAGACUCCAUAUGAGCUUCUAACUGGAAACAAGCCAAAUGUCAGGUACUUUCGUGUAUUUGGGUGCAAAUGUUUCAUCCUCAACAAAAGGGAAAGGUUAGGAAAAUUUCAAUCCAAAACAAUUGAGGGUAUAUUUAUUGGCUAUGGAUCAAACUCUCACGCCUAUAGAGUCUACAACAAAUCCAAUGGAUGUGUUGUAGAAACUUGUGACAUGGUGUUUGAUGAAUUUAAUGGCUCCCAUGGGGAGCAAGUUGAUCCAAGUGAUGUAGGUGAAGAAGAUUCUUCUCAAGACAUCUUGACCAUGGGUGUUGGUGCACUUCUUCCUAUGGAACAAGAACCUCAUGAUGAUGAAGAAGAAGAUGGAGGUCUCACACAUCAUCAAACUACUUCAACAUCCAUACCACCACAAGCUCCUAUUGUUCAACCGAUACCCUUGGCCCAAGUUGAAGAGGAUGAUCAAGUCUCUCUUAAUGAUAAUCAUCAAGAACAAGAUCAUCAUCAAGAGCAAGAACAAGAAAGUCCAAUCAUUGAUGAUGAACCUCAACAAAUGCAAUAUGAACAAGAAGAUCUUCCUCCACACGUGAAUGAUCCAUAUGUUGAAGAUGUGGAUGGUGGACAUGAAGUUGAACCUCGUGAAACCCUCACCUCCAUCAUGCCUCGAUUGGCUGGUUGUGUUGAUGUUGACAAAAUCCUCACCGGCAUCUCGGAAGGUAGAGUCACUCGUAAACAUUUGACAAAACAUUUGACAAACUUUUGUGCUCACUUCUCGUUUGUGUCUAGUAUUGAGCCACUCAAGGUACAAGAGGCAUUGAUGGACAACGAUUGGCUAGUUGCUAUGCAAGAAGAGUUGAACAGUUUUGAACGCAACCAAGUGUGGUCAUUAGUCAAGAGGUCAUCUACCGAGCACAAUGUCAUUGGAACAAAAUGGAUUUUCAAGAACAAGCAAGAUGAAAAUGGUGUAAUCAUCCACAACAAGGCAAGGUUAGUGGCACAAGGUUACUCACAAGUUGAAGGUUUGGACUUUGGUGAGACCUUUGCCCCCGUUGCCCGUCUUGAAUCCAUUCACAUCUUACUUGCCUAUACCGCAUUCAAUGGUUUUACAUUACAUCAAAUGGAUGUGAAGAGUUCUUUCCUUAACGGUCCUCUACAAGAAGAAGUAUAUGUGUCACAACCACCCGGGUUCGUUGAUCCCUUUCACAAAGACUAUGUGUAUAAAAUUCAUAAGGCUUUGUAUGGCCUCAAACAAGCACCUCGUGCUUGGUAUGAUCAUCUGAAGAAGUUUUUACUCGAUGAUGGUUUUGUGAGAGGGGUGAUCGAUCCCACUCUUUUUACUAAGAGGGACAAGGGUGAUUUGAUCCUAUGCCAAAUCUAUGUAGAUGACAUAUUUUUGGUUCUCCUAACAUUCAUUUGUGCAAGAAGUUUGCGGCUUCAAUGACCAAGAAUUUUGAAAUGUCAUUCAAUACGGAUUUGAAGUUCUUUCUCGGAUUCCAAGUUCAACAAUUUCAAGAAGGAAUUUUCUUAUCUCAAGCAAAGUACCUCAAAGAUAUUCUAGAAAAGUUUGGUAUGUCUGAUGCUAGUCCAUGCAAGACACCCAUGGCCACCAAAAUUACUCUCACCGAAGACACAAAUGGUAGUCCUUUCGACCCAUCUACUUACCGCUCUAUGAUUGGUUCAUUACUUUAUCUUUGUGCAUCUAGACCAGACAUCAUGUUCAGUGUAUGCAUGUGUGCUAGAUUUCAAGCUUUCCCUAUGGAAAGUCAUCAUAAGGCGGUUAAGCAUAUUCUUAGAUACCUUGUUCACACCCCAAAGUUGGGCCUCUGGUACCCCAAGGAUGCUAAGUUUGAUCUCAUUGGGUACACGGAUGCGGAUUGGGCUGGAGACAAAGUGGAUCGUAAGUCCACAUCCGGUGCAUGUCAGUUUCUUGGACGAUCCUUGGUGAGUUGGUCCUCGAAGAAACAAAAUUGUAUUGCUCUCUCUACCACAGAAGCUGAAUACAUUGCUGCUGCUAGUUGUGCAACUCAGGUGUUAUGGAUGAGGCAAACUUUGAAGGUUUACGGUAUCACCUAUAGAAAUGUGCCUCUUCUGUGUGAUAAUGAAAGUGCCAUCAAUAUUGCUGAGAACCCCAAAGAUCAUCUCCGCACCAAACACAUUGAUAUUAGGUAUCAUUUCUUGAGAGAUCAUGUUGAAAAGGGUGAUAUUCACAUUGAUCACAUUGGCACAGAUUUUCAACUAGCAGAUAUCUUCACCAAAUCUUUAGAUGAAGCAAGGUUCUGUCGACUUAGGCGUGAACUUGGUAUCUUGGAGCUUGACAACAUUAUGUGAAAUCUAGUACCCAUUCAUGCAUGAAUCUAAUGUCUUGUCAUGAUGUAGGCAUAUACUUAGGGGGAGACAUUCAAUUCAUGAAUGUUCUCACCCUACUCAAUGCAUAAAAAGAACCAACACUCUCAAAGUAACCAUGGGUCUAGACCUAUGGUGCUUUAACAUGAUGGAGUAGUGACUAUGCACUCAAAGUUCACAUCUUUCCGUGUCAUGUCAUGUCUACUCAGACAUUGUGGCAUUAGCCACCACUUGUAGUAUAUGGCUAUGAUUGGGUGAGGUAGGGUAUUAGUUACUACAUAAAUAAAUUUUUACUGUGAAAAAGAAAAUUGCCUUCUCCUCAUCAUGAUCAGCACUUGCACAUUUGCCUCCUGUCAAACUUCUAGCGUCGGACGUUCGUAGGUUCUGGACGUCCAUGUGGUUCUUCAAUGCCGGUCGUCCUUAGGCAUCCGGACGUUCGUAAAUUCUUCUCUGAUUACCAUCGACCGGUCGUCCGACCUCUUCGGACGUCCAUAAAAUCCACUCUGGUUCCCGCAGUUGGCCUAGACGCCGAAACGACGGACGUCCGUAAGACUCCGUACGUCCGUAAUAAACUUUCUGUUACAAUCUGUCCAGUCGUCCGAAGCCGUCGGUCAUCCAUAGAAUCAUCUCUGUCAUCCCCUACUUUCUGUUGGUUCCGACUCCGGUCGUCCGUACCCCCCCAGACGUCCGGAUGCUUCUUCGACUCCGGUCGGCCGUAGGGUCCGGACGUCCGGACGUUUUUACUGGUCACUAUAUAUACUGCGCGGUAGGGUUUCUCAACUGACCACAUCCUCUAUCUGCUAUUUCCCCACCGCCGCCGCUGCUCCUGCCGUGUGGCCACUCACCGCGGCCGCACGCUGCCGUGCCCCUCGCUGGGGCUUCUCUCCGUCGCGAAUGUGCGGCCCACUUGGUGCUGCUCCAGCCCGUCCAGCCCGUCAGCCACCUGCUCCAGCCCGCCGCUCGUCUCCUCUGUGUUCUUCCUUUCAAGGUAGGGCACAACCUUCCCCCCUCAUGUAUUCACCCUGAUCUAUGGAGGGGUGUUGAUAUGUGCCUUCCAUCUCCCCUAGGUCAUGAUGCCUCGGUCCAAGCACUCAGCUCGCAAGCAAGUCGCCGGAGGGCCGGCUCGUCCGUCUCGCCGUGGUGGCUCCGACGACUCCCAGGAGGAAGAUCGCCCUCGGAAACGUGCUGCUCGUCCUCCCAGCUCGUCAAGUGAUUCCUCCUCGGAGGGGUCGGACUUUGAGGAUGAGCUUGAGGAGGUGGAUCCGUCCCCGAUGGUUGGUGUUCGCGUCGCUCCACCCAAGCCAGGCACUCGUCGUCCAACCUUUCACCCUCCUCCUCCUCCGGUGCAACCCCACGGUGAUGCUCGCCACAUCUCAAUUGAGCCUCCACUACCACUCAGCCGUAAUGUUAAGCGUUUCAACGAUGUGCCAAAAACUUCAUAUCUUAAAUUGCGUCGUGAUGUAGAUCAAUUUACUGUUGUUAGGGAUUCUCAGGAUAGUCGCUUUCGCACAAAUGUCCAAGCCGACAUCUUCACCAUGAUUGUCAUCCCUAAGGGCUUGUCACUUCAUGCUUGCAUUGAUCUUGAGCACAUUCGCACUCAUCCGGAGAAAUAUCCGGGAGCCAUUGAGCUCAUUGAGUCGUCCAACCUAGCUGCUCCAUUCGCCUUUCAACAUGAUUUUAACCAUGCUGCCAUCCAUCAAUUUUUUGCCACAUGUUACUUUGCUCCUGAUAACACUGUCACAUGGAUGACCUCCGACACUACACUCACAACAUCUUAUGCUCAGUUUGUCACUGCCCUUGGAUUUCCCGAUACUGGGUUCAAAUCCACAAGGAUGACCCCAACCAUAAGCCCAAGGGCAUUGCGGUCUGUAUGGAUCUCCUUAGACCUAUAUCAACUUUGUCUGCCACUGAAAAACAAAAGGGUCUAAACCAAGUCUCCAUUUGGUGCUUUCCAUUCAACAUCAUUUACCAGUGUAUCAUCCGCACCAUCUAUCCCAAGAUGGGUGACAAGGGCUCCUGCAGCAGCUACUGCAUUGAUUUCAUGCAUCACCUCUUCACAUCUCCUAAAGGGAAGAUAAAUGUCCCACAUUUUUUAUGGCAUGAGAUCCGCCUUGCUAGCUUCCAACACAAGAGGGCUUUUCCUCAUGCACCUUUUAUUCAGGGUUUUAUCGAAAGUGUAGCUCCCUUUCCCAUUGCCCGCACUCAGGUACAUGAGCGAUGGGUCAUUCCCGCUCACAUGGCGGCUGAUCAUGUUCCUCCUCCUCCCGCUACUGCUAGUCGCACCGCCGCUAGUGUUCCUUCUCAUGCUACCCAUCCUCCUUCCAGUGCUGCCCCCUUUGGGCACAUUGCUCAUUUUCUUGGGAAGGCUCACUCAGCCAUGAUGAAGAUGUUCACCUACCAUUGCUCCCAACACCACGAUGUGGUCACUCGCAUGGUCACUUCCAAGAACGCAAUGAAGGCUCGUCUGAGAGACUCAGGAGUGUAUGAUGUGAGUGAUGAUGAGCAUCUUCCUGCAGACCCCCCUUCUGACUUUGGUUUUCCCUCCGGUCCUGAGUGGGCUGAUUUCUUCGACGAGGCUAGUGGCAGUGGUGUUCAUGAUGAUGAUGAUGAGGAUGAUCUCUAAUGCUAUUAUGUUUUCCCCCUAGUUCUUUUUUUGGAUACUUGAUGCCAAAGGGGGAGUAGGCUCUAUAUCCAUGUUUGUCUAGCUCAUUAUGUAAUCAAACUUAUUGUUAUGGUUAUGUUUUAGCUUGUACUGAACCUAUGUUAUGAGUUUGUUGAAUCUGAGAUUUGGUGAAUCUACAUGUGAUGAAUCUAUAUGAAGUUUAACUCUUGAUUAUCGUGUGUAUGAGAUUUGGUUAUAUUGGGGGCAUCAUUUUGAGGGGGAGCCCUCAUCAUUUGUUUUAUCUAUGGUAUCACUUUGAGGGGGAGCUCGCUCGCUACUCAUUCUUAUUAUGGUUAUUGAGCUCCACAACAAAUACUUCCGAUUACUAUUAUGAGUAUGCAUAUGAGGUUUCAUCAACUACCAAAAAGGGGGAGAUUGAAAGUGCAAUCAUGCCCUUAAUCAUAUUUUGAUGUUGAUGACAACACAUAUGCUCGGGACUAAUCAUGUUUAUCAAGUAUAUCUCAGGAUUAUGUUUCAAAGACCGUGUACAUGGAUCAUGACUAGGGACAAAAAGCAUAUAACUCAAGAAUGGGGAUACAAGAUGUAGAGUUCAUUUAUGGUUUGUUCUUGAGUAUAGGGAUCCCGCACUAUUAAGAGGGGAUCGAUGGAUCUAGUGAAAAACUUGCUCAAAAGCCACUUUUUCUAUACCUUGCCUUCGGACAUCCGGUGUUCUACGGACGUCCGGUUCCUCUUGAUUGCCCGGACGUCCGGCCACUUUCGGACGUCCGGCGUUCCACAACAGAAGCAUUUCUACGGAUGUCCGGAACUCUCCGGACGUCCGACACUUUCACAACAAAAGCAUUUUUGCGGACGUCCGGACUCUCCGGUCGUCCAUGCUUCGGAUGUCCGGCCCAGCUCGGACGUCCGUAUCCUGUACACUGGGUUGUGGCUCACAUUCUCACAGUGGCCGGUCGUCCGAUGACUGUCAGACGUCCGGACCUAUUUGUGCCUCCGGACGUCCGACGUUCUCCGGACGUCCGGCCCAUCCUGUACCCCAAACGGUCACUUUUACUCACCACCUAUAUAUAUACCUCUCCCUUCCAUGGGAUAAGGUUGACCAUUCACUUUGAGCCUAUCAAGAACACUCCUCACUCUCUCUCUCUCUCUCAUUCAUCCACACCAAAUCCUAGAUUCCCAAGUGUUCUAGGAGCAUUUGAGAGAAGUUCUCCAAUCAAGUGAUAGAUCCACUCCUUCCCCUUCUUUGCACCAAAGGAAUUCAUGAUUUGAGAAAGUUUUGAGAUUUCCCCCAUCGUUCUUGUUACUCUUGGAGGUUGGAGACUCCUAGGCGGUAGGAGUCAUUCGGAGAGGAAUCGAACUUUGUGAUUACCCUCGGAAAAGUUUGUGAGGGUUUGGAGACCACCCCAAGGUCUACCACUAGUGGUUGAGAAACGCCUCCGUGGUGUUGUCUCAAAGGGAGAAUAGGGUGAGCCUUCAUGGCGUUGGUGUGCCUUCGUGGUAACAUCCACCUCUCUAACGGUGACUAGCUUCCCUCCAAGGAAGUGAACAUCAGCAUACAUCCUCGUCUCCCGGAGUUGCGGUUAUACCUAACCCUAACUCUCUACUUGUGGUUACUUGUCUCUCUACACUUACGUACAUUAUAUUGUGCUUGCCUACUUACGUGUUUGUGUUGUUUGCUUAGUACUUUGUGCUCACGUGCAAUUGUUAGGCUCAUCUUCAUAUUCCGCAUUAUUGCCUAAAAUUGCCAAGUAAUAAUUAAAAUUUGUAAUUGUACCUAUUCACCCCCCCUCUAGGUCCAUCUCGAUCCUUUCACCCAGGGGCCGGUCGGGCCACGUGGGCCAUUGGUCCCGGUUCGUCUGGACCUUUUGGUCCCGGUUGGUGGGACGAACCGGGACCAAUGUGCCAUGCUCCUGGCCCACCACCGUUGGUCCCGGUUGGUGGCAUGAACCGGGACCAAAGGCUGCCCUUUAGUCUCGGUUCGUGCCAUGAACCGGGACCAAUUAAUUGCCUAUAUAUACCCCUCGCCCGCGGGCAGAGCACUCCCAUCGCUCUGUUUUUCCUGGCCAGCGAGGAGAGACCUUUGUGGUGCUCUAGCUCACCUCCUAUGCACACGAGGUGUUCGAUGGAAUGCCCGAGCCACACUACUUAAGCUUUCUCCUCUCCAACUCGACCUCCAAGCUCCAUUUUCCUCAAUAUUUGUCUAGGUUUAGCGGUCCGUCACAUCCCGUCCCCGUCUUCACCGCCGUCGAUCGCCCGUGCCGAUCUCGUCGCCGGCACCACCGUGGUGAGCCUCUUGUUCUUAUCUUCUUUUUGAAAGGAAAAAAAAUUCUUACUUGUAUGUUUAUAUAGAUACUUGUAUAAUUUUCUUACUUUUAUUAUUGCAUCUUAUAUAGUGCAAUGGUUUUGGUAUCCGCCCCCGUCGGCCCUCGUCUUGUCUAUGAUUCGGAUGUGGUAUAUAUUAUCUUCUCCAUGGCUGGUCCUGAGAUUUUGGGGGCCCGGGGCGAACCUAAAACAGAGGGCCCUUUCAUAUACUCCCUCCAUUGCAAUGAAUUUUUAGCACUGGAAUUUUUGAUCUCAGCGCCGUUUCAAAUAUACUCCUUCCAUUGCAAUGAACUUCUAUCACUGAAAUUUUUUAUCAUCAAAAACUUCUUCCCAAUACGAAUACAACGGUUUGUUUUUUAUUACAUAGAACCCACAUUUGGCUGGCCUAAUUGUUGGGGAACGUAGUAAUUUCAAAAAAUUUCCUACGCACACGCAAGAUCAUGGUGAUGCAUAGCAACGAGAGGGGAGAGUAUUGUCCAUGUACCCUCGUAGACCGUAAGCGGAAGCGUUAUGACAACGCGGUUGAUGUAGUCGUACGUCUUCACGAUCCGACCGAUCCAAGUACCGAACGUACGGCACCUCCGAGUUCAGCACACGUUCAGCUCGAUGACGAUCCCUGGACUCCGAUCUAGCAAAGUGUCGAGGAUGAGUUCCGUCAGCACGACAGCGUGGUGACGAUGAUGAUGUUCUACGGGUGCAGGGCUUCGCCUAAACUCCGCGACGAUAUGACUGAGGUGGAAUAUGAUGGAGGGGGGCACCGCACACAGCUAAGGAACGAUCACGUAGAUCAACUUGUGUGUUAUGGGGUGCCCCCUGCCCCCGUAUAUAAAGGAGCAAGGGGGGAGGGGCGGCCGGCCUAGGAGGAGGCGCGCCAAGGGGAGUCCUACUCCCACCGGGAGUAGGACUCCCUCCUUCCUUGUUGGAGUAGGAGAAGGGGAAAGAGGGGGAGAGGAAGAAGGAAAAGGGGGCUGCGCCCCUUGUCCAAUUCGGACCAGAGCAGGGGGGGGGGGGGCGCAAGCCUCCUUCCUUUUGGCCUCUCUCCUCUAUUCCAGUAUGGCCCAAUAAGGCCCAUAUACUCCCCGGCGAAUUCCCGUAACUCUCCGGUACUCCGAAAAAUACCCGAAUCACUCGGAACCUUUUCGAACUCCGAAUAUAGUCGUCCAAUAUAUCGAUCUUUACGUCUCGACCAUUUCGAGACUCCUCGUCAUGUCCCCGAUCUCAUCCGGGACUCCGAACUCCUUCGGUACAUCAAAACUCAUAAACUCAUAAUAUAACUGUCAUCGAAACCUUAAGCGUGCGGACCCUACGGGUUCGAGAACUAUGUAGACAUGACCUAGAACUAUUCUCGGUCACUAACUAAUAGCGGAACCUGGAUGCUCAUAUUGGCUCCUACAUAUUCUACGAAGAUCUUUAUCAGUCAAAUCGCAUAACAACAUACGUUGUCCCCUUUGUCAUCGGUAUGUUACUUGCCCGAGAUUCGAUCGUCGGUAUCCAAUACCUAGUUCAACCUCGUUACUGGCAAGUCUCUUUACUCGUUACGUAAUGCAUCAUUUCAUAACUAUCUCAUUAGCUACAUUGCUUGCAAGGCUUAUAGUGAUGUGCAUUACCGAGAGGGCCCAGAGAUACCUCUCCGACAAUCGGAGUGACAAAACCUAAUCUCGAAAUACGCCAACCCAACAUGUACCUUUGGAGACACCUGUAGUACUCCUUUAUAAUCACCCAGUUACGUUGUGACGUUUGGUAGCACCCAAAGUGUUCCUCCGGUAAACGGGAGUUGCAUAAUCUCAUAGUUACAGGAACAUGUAUAAGUCAUGAAGAAAGCAAUAGCAACAUACUAAACGAUCAAGUGCUAGGCUAACGGAAUGGGUCAAGUCAAUCACAUCAUUCUCCUAAUGAUGUAAUCCCAUUAAUCAAAUGACAACUCUUUUGUCCAUGGCUAGGAAACAUAACCAUCUUUGAUAAACGAGCUAGUCAAGUAGAGGCAUACUAGUGACACUAUGUUUGUCUAUGUAUUCACACAUGUAUUAUGUUUCCGGUUAAUACAAUUCUAGCAUGAAUAAUAAACAUUUAUCAUGAUAUAAGGAAAUAAAUAAUAACUUUAAUAUUGCCUCUAGGGCAUAUUUCCUUCAGUCUCCCACUUGCACUAGAGUCAAUAAUCUAGUUCACAUCACGAUGUGAUUUAACACUAAUAUUCACAUCUGUAUGUGAUUAAUACCCAUAGUUCACAUCGUCAUGUGAUCAACACCCAAAGGGUUUACUAGAGUUAAUAAUCUAGCUCACAUCACUAUGUGAUUAACACCCAAAGAGUACAAAGGUAUGAUCAUGUUUUGUUCGUGAGAGAAAUUUAGUCAACGGGUCUGUCACAUACAAAGCCGUAUGUAUUUUGCAAAUUUUCUAUGUCUUCAAUGCUCUGCAUGGAGCUACUCUAGCUAAUUGUUCCCACUUUCAAUAUGUAUCCAUAUUGAGACUUAGAGUCAUCUGGAUCAGUGUAAAAGUUUGCACCGAUGUAACUUUUACAACAAACUCUUUUAUCACCUCCAUAAUCGAGAAACAUCUCCUUAGUCCUCACUAAGGAUAUUCUUGACCGCUGUCCAGUGAUCUACUAUUAGAUCAAAAUUGUAUUCCUUUGCCAAACUCAGAGCAAGGUAUACAAUAUGUCUGGUUCACAACAUAGCAUACUUUAUAGAACCUAUGACUGAGGCAUAGGGAAUGACUUUUCAUUCUCUUUUUAUUUUCUGCCAUGGUCGGGUCUUGAGUCUUACUCAACUUCACACCUUGCAACACAGGCAAGAACUCCUUCUUUAACUGUUCCAUUUUGAACUAUUUCAAAAAUUUAUCAAGGUAUGUACUCAUUGAAAAAUCUUAUCAAGCGUCUUGAUCUAUCUAUAUAGAUCUUGAUGCUCAAUGUGUAAGCAGCUUCACCGAGGUCUUGCUUUGAAAAACUCUUAUUCAAGUAUCCUUUCAUGCUAUCCAAAAUUUCUAUAUCAUUUCCAAUUAACAAUAUGUCAUCCACAUAUAAUAUUAGAAAUGCUACAGAGCUCCCACUCACUUUCUUGUAAAUACAGGCUUCUCAAAAAGUCUGUAUAAAACCAUAUUCUUUGAUCAACUCAUCAAAGCGUAUAUUCCAACUCCGAGAUACUUGCACCAGUCCAUAAAUGGAUCUAUGGAGCUUGCACAUUUUGUUAACACCUUUAGGAUCGACAAAACCUUCUGGUUGCAUCAUAUACAACUCUUCUUUAAUAAAUCCAUUAAGGAAUGCAGUUUUGUUUAUCCAUUUGCCAGAUUUCAUAAAAUGCGGCAAUUGCUAACAUGAUUCAGACAUACUUAAGCAUAGAUACGAGUGAAAAACUCUCAUCGUAGUCAACACCUUGAACUUGUCGAAAACCUUUUGUGACAAUUCUAGCUUUGGAGAUAGUAACACUAUCAGCGUCCGUCUUCCUCUUGAAGAUCCAUUUAAUCUCAAUGUCUCGCCGAUCAUUGGGCAAGUCAAUCAAAGUCCAUACUUUGUUUUCAUACAUGGAUCUCAUCUCAGAUCUCAUGGCCUCAAGCCAUUUUGCGGAAUCUGGGCUCACCAUCGCUUCUUCAUAGUUCAUAGGUUCGUCAUGGUCUAGUAACAUAGCUUCCAGAACAAGAUUAC